rnacentral:lncRNA from 1 species
AGCGAAGGCGUCGUGGAUGGCGGCGAUGAGCGUCGGCGCGGUGGAGGCGCUCAAGGACCAGGCCGGCCUCUGCCGCUGGAACUACGCUCUCAGGUCCGUUCACGGCGCAGCCAAGGCCAAGGCCACCAUCCGCGGUGGUGUGGUCUCGCAGGGCACGAAGCGGCUUCCGGCCUCUGCGGCGGCCGUGGCCGAGAGGCGGCGAGCGGAGGAGGCCCUGCGGACCGUCAUGUACCUCAGCUGCUGGGGUCCCAACUAGGCAAGGCCGGCGGUUCCGCUUGCUUCACGUACGGCUUGCUACUUGCCUCGCUGCGGGCUGCGUCUGGGUUGGAAAUAGUACUAUCACGAUGAUGAUGAAAACUUCUGUGUUCUGUCGCUAGCUUCAGAUCUUACGAAUAAUUACAAUGCCCUUGCUUUGGGUACCUCUAUAUAUUUGCUUCAAAGUUUAGCUAUAGUUAUUUUGACUUGGCUAUAAGUUAUGGGUUUCGCUCACUCUGCUAGUACUUCGAUGUGAAGCACAAGAUCCAUGGCCACAUUAAUCCUGGUCUGCUAGUUCUCUGAUCCAAGUGGCAGAAUUGCGAGGUAACCGAGUUCUCUUUGUACUGUAGUUUCGUUUUCUUAGCCAUGACUGAACAUUUUCCGAACCAUGUUCUUCAUACACACGAUAAUCAUAACUGUAACAUGACUGAAUCGGAUGUGAGAAAAAAUAUAUAUAUAUAUACCUAUACCUAAUUUUUUUAAUAAUAAAGAGGCCAUUGCUUCCGUCGGAAAACCCACCGCGAUAUUUUUAUAAAAAAACCUCUGUAAUUUUUUUUAUUCAACCCGCGCUCCAUAAUUUAUCUGCAACGCAAAAGGAAAAAACGAUUCACUGCAAAAAUUAUACCCGUAAGCAUCGCCUCCUCCCGUCAAUCUUGGGCCACCCUGACAUGUGCCCAGGCCGUUGCCAUACCACUCGUCGCCGCGGCCGACCUCAACCGCCACCGCUGUCGAUCUCAACCCACCCGCCUCCGCGGCCGUACCUCUCCCCGCUCACUGCCCCCGCUGCGGCGCUCGAGCGCAUCGCGUCGACCCUGGUCCACCCUGGCGUGUGCCCAGGCCGCUGCCACACCACUCGCCGCCGCGACCGACCUCAACCACCACUGUUGUCGAUCUCAACCCACCCGCCUCCGCGGCCGUACCUCUGCCCGCUUGUUGCCCCCGUUUCGGCGCUCGAGCACAGCUUGUGGAUCAAAUCAACGCGACAGUUAUAGUGACUGGGGAUGAUGCGUCUGCUCGAUGCAGAACAGCGGCGGCGCGGCGGAGCGAAGUACUUGCAGGUGGAGGCGGGCCUCCAUGGCUCACACGGGGAACUCCAAGGNNNNNNNNNNNNNNNNNNNNNNNNNNNNNNNNNNNNNNNNNNNNNNNNNNNNNNNNNNNNNNNNNNNNNNNNNNNNNNNNNNNNNNNNNNNNNNNNNNNNNNNNNNNNNNNNNNNNNNNNNNNNNNNNNNNNNNNNNNNNNNNNNNNNNNNNNNNNNNNNNNNNNNNNNNNNNNNNNNNNNNNNNNNNNNNNNNNNNNNNNNNNNNNNNNNNNNNNNNNNNNNNNNNNNNNNNNNNNNNNNNNNNNNNNNNNNNNNNNNNNNNNNNNNNNNNNNNNNNNNNNNNNNNNNNNNNNNNNNNNNNNNNNNNNNNNNNNNNNNNNNNNNNNNNNNNNNNNNNNNNNNNNNNNNNNNNNNNNNNNNNNNNNNNNNNNNNNNNNNNNNNNNNNNNNNNNNNNNNNNNNNNNNNNNNNNNNNNNNNNNNNNNNNNNNNNNNNNNNNNNNNNNNNNNNNNNNNNNNNNNNNNNNNNNNNNNNNNNNNNNNNNNNNNNNNNNNNNNNNNNNNNNNNNNNNNNNNNNNNNNNNNNNNNNNNNNNNNNNNNNNNNNNNNNNNNNNNNNNNNNNNNNNNNNNNNNNNNNNNNNNNNNNNNNNNNNNNNNNNNNNNNNNNNNNNNNNNNNNNNNNNNNNNNNNNNNNNNNNNNNNNNNNNNNNNNNNNNNNNNNNNNNNNNNNNNNNNNNNNNNNNNNNNNNNNNNNNNNNNNNNNNNNNNNNNNNNNNNNNNNNNNNNNNNNNNNNNNNNNNNNNNNNNNNNNNNNNNNNNNNNNNNNNNNNNNNNNNNNNNNNNNNNNNNNNNNNNNNNNNNNNNNNNNNNNNNNNNNNNNNNNNNNNNNNNNNNNNNNNNNNNNNNNNNNNNNNNNNNNNNNNNNNNNNNNNNNNNNNNNNNNNNNNNNNNNNNNNNNNNNNNNNNNNNNNNNNNNNNNNNNNNNNNNNNNNNNNNNNNNNNNNNNNNNNNNNNNNNNNNNNNNNNNNNNNNNNNNNNNNNNNNNNNNNNNNNNNNNNNNNNNNNNNNNNNNNNNNNNNNNNNNNNNNNNNNNNNNNNNNNNNNNNNNNNNNNNNNNNNNNNNNNNNNNNNNNNNNNNNNNNNNNNNNNNNNNNNNNNNNNNNNNNNNNNNNNNNNNNNNNNNNNNNNNNNNNNNNNNNNNNNNNNNNNNNNNNNNNNNNNNNNNNNNNNNNNNNNNNNNNNNNNNNNNNNNNNNNNNNNNNNNNNNNNNNNNNNNNNNNNNNNNNNNNNNNNNNNNNNNNNNNNNNNNNNNNNNNNNNNNNNNNNNNNNNNNNNNNNNNNNNNNNNNNNNNNNNNNNNNNNNNNNNNNNNNNNNNNNNNNNNNNNNNNNNNNNNNNNNNNNNNNNNNNNNNNNNNNNNNNNNNNNNNNNNNNNNNNNNNNNNNNNNNNNNNNNNNNNNNNNNNNNNNNNNNNNNNNNNNNNNNNNNNNNNNNNNNNNNNNNNNNNNNNNNNNNNNNNNNNNNNNNNNNNNNNNNNNNNNNNNNNNNNNNNNNNNNNNNNNNNNNNNNNNNNNNNNNNNNNNNNNNNNNNNNNNNNNNNNNNNNNNNNNNNNNNNNNNNNNNNNNNNNNNNNNNNNNNNNNNNNNNNNNNNNNNNNNNNNNNNNNNNNNNNNNNNNNNNNNNNNNNNNNNNNNNNNNNNNNNNNNNNNNNNNNNNNNNNNNNNNNNNNNNNNNNNNNNNNNNNNNNNNNNNNNNNNNNNNNNNNNNNNNNNNNNNNNNNNNNNNNNNNNNNNNNNNNNNNNNNNNNNNNNNNNNNNNNNNNNNNNNNNNNNNNNNNNNNNNNNNNNNNNNNNNNNNNNNNNNNNNNNNNNNNNNNNNNNNNNNNNNNNNNNNNNNNNNNNNNNNNNNNNNNNNNNNNNNNNNNNNNNNNNNNNNNNNNNNNNNNNNNNNNNNNNNNNNNNNNNNNNNNNNNNNNNNNNNNNNNNNNNNNNNNNNNNNNNNNNNNNNNNNNNNNNNNNNNNNNNNNNNNNNNNNNNNNNNNNNNNNNNNNNNNNNNNNNNNNNNNNNNNNNNNNNNNNNNNNNNNNNNNNNNNNNNNNNNNNNNNNNNNNNNNNNNNNNNNNNNNNNNNNNNNNNNNNNNNNNNNNNNNNNNNNNNNNNNNNNNNNNNNNNNNNNNNNNNNNNNNNNNNNNNNNNNNNNNNNNNNNNNNNNNNNNNNNNNNNNNNNNNNNNNNNNNNNNNNNNNNNNNNNNNNNNNNNNNNNNNNNNNNNNNNNNNNNNNNNNNNNNNNNNNNNNNNNNNNNNNNNNNNNNNNNNNNNNNNNNNNNNNNNNNNNNNNNNNNNNNNNNNNNNNNNNNNNNNNNNNNNNNNNNNNNNNNNNNNNNNNNNNNNNNNNNNNNNNNNNNNNNNNNNNNNNNNNNNNNNNNNNNNNNNNNNNNNNNNNNNNNNNNNNNNNNNNNNNNNNNNNNNNNNNNNNNNNNNNNNNNNNNNNNNNNNNNNNNNNNNNNNNNNNNNNNNNNNNNNNNNNNNNNNNNNNNNNNNNNNNNNNNNNNNNNNNNNNNNNNNNNNNNNNNNNNNNNNNNNNNNNNNNNNNNNNNNNNNNNNNNNNNNNNNNNNNNNNNNNNNCGUGUCGCUAGCAAGACGGGCCUGCGACGCAUUUCGACUCGUCCAGCGCCCCCAUGGGAGCCCCUGGGGGGAGGGCUUGGGCUGGGUUUGCCGGACGGGAACAAGGGGGCGUCCGGACGGGAAGGCCCAAUGGGGGGUGCGACUAGACGCGCUCGGGGCCCGUUCGGAGAGGAAGCGACCGUGGGGGCGUGUUUGAGGGGCGCGACUGGAUAUGCUCUAACCAAACCACCCCGUCCAUUUGCUGCAGUAACGUACGUGGCCUGAAAAUUGGCUGGUUGCUACGCGGAUUGUAAUAUACCACGGCGAUGAUGAUGAAAAAUUCUGUCACAUGAGCUUAUAUUCCCUUGUUAAUUUACUUUCGACGGGGAAUAUGGAUGUUUCUGUUUAGAAUGAAUUGUCUAUUUCAUUGAUGAUUUGUGAAGAUUAAAUACACACGGAACCGUCGCCACGAACGGAUGCGUUCGCUGGUGGGGGUCUGGGAAAACCGCCGCGUCGGUUGGCUAGGAACCGCACGAAGCAUUUCUGUACAAGGGAGGAUUAUUCCCUAAUUAACAUAAUUAGUUUAAAUCCUAACACUCCCCCUAAUCCUCGCUUGUGCUUGAGACAGAUCAUCUUUGAAAUAUUCUCCUCCAAAACCCUGUGGAAAAAAUUGAGAAAAAAACAUACAAUAUGCCAUGAAAAACUCCUUCUAAAACCCAGUGGGAAAAAUAAGGAGAAAAUGACAUAUAUCGUCCAUGCUUGCAUUGAUAUUGCCUCAUUGAAAACCUUAUGUGAGAAACAAUUUGGAAAAACUCACAAAGGAAAAGAGUACAAUACUAAAGAUCUCAUGAUCUUAACAUGUUAUAUCCUAGGAGAUUUCUCCCCCUGAAUUUUGCAAGUCUCGAAGUCGUCUCAUACCAAUUCCAUUUACAUACUUAUGGAAUAAAGAACUUGAUAAAGACUUAGUAAAUAGAUCAGCGAAAUUAUCGCAUGACUUCGUUUGCAAAAUACUUAUCUCCCCCUUCUCUUGCAGAUCAUGGGGAUAAAAUAAUUUAGGAGAAAUAUGCUUUGUAAUAUUGCUCUUAAUAUAACCCGUUUGCAUUUGUGCAAUGCAAGCAGCAUUAUCUUCGUAGAUAAUAGUGGGUGAUUUUACCGAACCAAUCCCACUUGAACUUUAGACAAAGUUCAUCAUUCUGCGAAGCCAUACACAUUCACGUGAUGCUUCGAACAAAGCAAUUAUCUCAGAAUGAUUGGUGGACGUUGCCACUAAGGUUUGCUUUAUUGAUUUCCAAGAGAAGGCCGUACCUCCAUGUAAGAAGACAAAACCAGUCUGUGAUCUGGCAUCAUGGGGAUCUGACAAGUAUCCAGCAUCGCAAUACCCCACCAUGGUUCUCUCUUGAUUUUUCUGAUAGAAUAAACCAAGAUCUUUGGUGCCUUGAAGAUAUCUGAAAAUAUUCUUCACACCAACCCAAUGCCUUUUUGUUGGUGGUGCGAUGUAUCUAGCCAGUAAAUUAACUGCAAAUGCUAUAUCAGGUCUAGUGCAGUUUGCUAGAUACAUUAGUGCACCAAUGGCACUGAGAUAUGGAAACUCUGGUCCCAAUAUCUCUUCAUCAUCACCCUUAGGCCUAAACGGGUCCUUGUCUCUGUCAAGCGACCUGACGACCAUAGGUGUUUUUGAUGGGUAUGCUUUAUCCAUGUUGAACUUUUCCAGUAUCUUUUGGAUGUAAGCAAACUGAUGAACAAGUAUUCCUGAAGAAAAAUGUUCAAGUUGCAAACCAAGACAAAAUUUGGUUUUACCCAAAUCUUUCAUUUCAAAUUCCGUAUUGAGAUGAUUACUUGCCUCAUGUAUUUCAUGUGUAGUUCCAAUGAUGUUCAAGUCAUCAACAUACACGGAAAUUAUAAAAAAUUCAUCAGUGGAUUUCUUGAUGAACACACAUGGGCAUUGUUGUUUGAGUAACCCUUCUUCAGAAGGAACUCACUUAGUCGGUUAUACCACAUUCUACCUGACUGUUUCAAGCCGUAUAAUGACUUCAGUAGCUUUACGCAAUACAUGUUGCGGUUAGCUUUUGGAUCCGGAAUCUUCAGUCCCUCGGGAACUUUCAUAUAGAUAUCCGUCUUUAGUGACCCAUAUAAAUAUGCAGUCACAACAUCCAUCAAUUGGAUAUACAAAUUCAUUUGCACUGCCAGUGAUAUCAAGUAUCGGUACGUGAUUCCACUCAUCACGGGAAAAUAUGUUUCAUCAUAAUCGAUGCCGGGUCUCUGUGUAAACCCUUGUGCUACAAGCCUCGCUUUAUAUCUCACCACCUCAUUGUUUUUGUUCCUUUUACAAACAAAAACCCAUUUUGCCCCCACGGGGAAAACAUUAGGAGGAGUAGGUAUUACUGCAGUAAAUACCCCUCUCUUGGCAAGCGAGCGCAAUUCGUCCUCUAUUGCAACCUUCCAAUUGGACCAGUCUGAGCGUUUCAUACACUCUGCCAUGGACUUAGGUUCACGAUCCAAUGCCAGGUCAUCUGCAAUCUUUGAGGCGAAAAAUAUGUCGACAAUUGUAGUCUUUCUGUUGAAUGAUUCUCCUGAUUCAACAUAGUUGAUGGAAAUCUCAUCAAUACCUUCUGACUCAUUGUGAUUUCCCACAACAAUCGAGUCAAGGUGUACCGAUGUCCCAGCACCAAUAUUUGUGUGCACAGUUGUGCUGGGUUCCGGAUGCAUAACAUCGUUUAGGUGUCUUUCAACACUAGGUUGAAUAUCAACACGCGGUUGACCUGCAUUUACUAUUUGAGGGAUCCUCACUUCCCGCGGACGCUUCUGAGAAGCCUUGUCCUUUUUGUCCAGUUUUCUCCCCCUCUUGGGCGGUUGAGUGGUCUUAUGAGAUAUAUCAACUCUCUCUGGAACAUUCAUAGCGGGAACAUGGGAUUUAGUUACACCUUUAUAGUCAGUAAAUGCAUCUGGCAGAUUAUUUGCAAUAUUUUGCAAAUUAAUAAUCUUCUGAACUUCUAGUUCAGAUUCAUUCGUACGUGGAUCUAAGGACUGAAUGCCUUUGACAUUCCAAUCUAUUUCCCGGCAUUCUCUGUGGUUCUUUUCUCCCCCUAAUGCCGGAAAAUUGUCCUCAUCGAAGAUGCAAUCAGCGUACCGGGCUGUAAAUAAAUCCCCUGUUAGAGGCUCCAGGUACUUUAUGAUCGACGGAGAAUUGUACCCCACAUAGAUCCCCAUUUUUCUAUGUGGACCCAUCGAGGUACGCUGAGGUGGUGAUAUCGGUACGUACACAGUGCAACCGAAUCUUCGAAGAUGGGAAAUACUUGGUUGAUUUACACGUACUAACUGCAACGGGGAGGCCGUAUGAUAUGCAGUUGGUCGAAUUUGUAUCAAAUCCGCGGCAUGCAAUACCGCAUGUCUCCAACAAGAUGUUGGAAGAUUACAGUUCUGUAGGAGUGGUCUUGCUAUCAACUUGAUCCUCUUGAUAAGUGAUUCUGCAAGACCAUUUUGUGUGUAUACAUAUGGUACAGAAUGCUCCACAGUUAUGCCUAAAGCUAGGCAGUAAUCAUUGAAUGCCCGUGAACUAAAAUCAGCAGCAUUAUCCAUUCUGAUGGAUUUUAUCCUGUGUUCAGGAUGAUUUGCCCUUAGUUUAAUGAUUUGAGCAAUCAGCUUUGCAAAAGCACGGUUCCUUGUUGAUAAUAGACAUACAUUAGACCAUCUUGUUGAUGCAUCAAUGAGUACCAUAAAAUAUCUAAAUGGUCCCGAUAACGGUUGAAUUGGACCACAUAUAUCUCCUUGAAUGCGUUCAAGAAAAUUAAGUGGUUCAUUCUUGAUCUUCAGAUAUGAAGGUCUUGUGAUUAAUUUCUAGUUGCACAUGCAGUGCAUACGAAAUCCGAGGAUUUAGGGAAAUUAGCAACCGUUAUCUUGUGUCCAAUUGAACCGUCAAUAAUUUUUCUCAUCAUCCCCACACCAGGAUGACCCAAGCGAUCAUGCCAUAUCUUGAACUUGUCAAGAUUCUGAAAAAUUAUUUUGUAUGCCAAAUGUUGCUCUGGCUUGAUGUAUGUGUAAUACAGUCCAGAAGAUAGAGCAGGCAGUCUCUCAAGGGUUUCCUUGUCGGAUCCCUUGUGUUGAAUUAUGAGUAGGCUUUCAACCGCAUUGUCUUCAUGAGUUUCAAUGUGGUAGCCAUUCAUACGGAUAUCCUUAAAACUCAACAAGGUACGAGUUGAAUCCGGAUACAAUAAAGCCUCCUGGAUUUCAAGUUUUGUACCAUUCGGGAGGGUAAAUGUGGCUUGACCAGAACCAACAAUUACCGUGUCAUGACCACCAAUUGUCAUAACACUUCCCUUACUCUUUUUGAGACUUUGGAAGUAUUUAACCUCCCGUAGAAUUGUGUUAGAGGCACCACUGUCCACUAAACAAAUUUCCUCCUCCAUUGGAUUGUUUCUCGAAGUUUUCUGUAGAGUAAAAGAAUAAAAUUCAUUAUUUAUCCAAUCUCAUAUAGAAUUAACACAUACAUUACAUAUUAUGUAUAUCUGCUUACAAAUUAUAAUAUAUUAUGUUUAAGGACAUAAUUAUUACAAUACCAUAUGUCUAAGGACAUAAUUAUUUUACAACACACAAUAUAACUAAGGACAUCAUCACAACACUUAUGACAUUAUUAGAAGAUCAAAGCAUAUCUCCAUAUAUGUCAUUAGUAGAAGUGAAAUCCACCAACAUGUCAUCAACAUUAAGUGGCGGUCCUUCCUUUUGCUGAGCCUGAUCUUGGUUCUCCAUGUUGUCAUGAACUGCGUUCAGAUGAACGUCUUGAGAACUUUCAAUAAUUGGACCAGUGGAGUGAGCUUCGUACUGGUUCCCUUGAGCCUUCUUGCCCUUUCCAAUCGAUUGCUGAUACAGCGUCACCAGAUGCUUAGAAGUUGUACACUUCCUUGCAUGAUGAGUAGUACAACCACAUCUGUAGCAAGUUUGAGAGCUACUACCCUUGUCAUUUUUCUUAAAAUGAUUCUUACUCUUUUGUACUCCAUUGCUAUUCUGAUUCUUAUUGCGUCUCCACUUUCCUUUAAACUUCCUAUGGUUCCUUUUGGGACCACGGGACUUCUGAGUAUUCUGAGAAUUAAAAUGUGCUUCAGGCAGCGGCAGUGUUCCCGUUGGACGGGACAUAUUAUUCUUAUCGAGAAUUUCACUGUGCUUUUCUGCCUGAAAGAGUGCAUAUAUCAACUCAGAAUGCUUCUUGUAUUUCUACUGACGAUGUUGUUCAGCAAUAAUCCUCAUAUUAGGAUGGAAAGUAGAGAGUGUCUUUUCAAUGAGAUCUGCAUCUGAAACUGCACUAUUGCAGAAUCUCAACUUAGAGUUGAUUUGAUGCACAUCAGAAUUGUACGCUGCAACGGACUUAAAAUCCUGGAAACGGAUAAGUGCCCAUUCUCUUUGCGCUUCAGGCAACAUCACCGACCUUUGUUGAUCAUAACGCUCCUUUAAGGAGUUCCACAAUGAUAGAGGAUUUUCCUCCAUCAUAUACUCUUCUUUCAGAGCAGGAUCAAGGUGGUGUCGAAUGAAGUGCAAAGAAGCAUACUUUGCCGUAUCUGCGAUAGCAGGAGUACCUUGAGUAGGUGUGGUUAUAGUGCUGAUCAGAUUCCUCGCCGCCAAGUUAAUCUUGACAUCCAUGGCCCAGGUCAGAUAAUUUCUACCAUCAAUGGCAAACUCAACAAAUUCCUUCUUGGACAUGUCAGCCAUAUCCUGCAUGAAAAAUAUCAUGCGCAUUAAUUUACACUCAUGUAAAUUAAUUGUGUGUAAAAUAAAAUGCUUGAUUAAAUAUAAAGGUCUAGGAAAAGCCUAAACGACCCAAAAUAUGACUGUCUACAAAAGAUAAUCACCAUGAAAUGGCGUAGAUCUUUGUUUUGUAGAACACAUAGAGGUAAUCAGCACGAAGUGGCUAGACACUCGUAUGACGAUCUUCAAGCCAUAAUAUGUGUGCUUUCAUUUUUUGCUUUGAGGUAAGCACUAUCAAGUAGUGCAGACCUUAAUAUGAUGGUACUUUGUACGACCUUGUGUUAUUUAAAAAACUUUGAAGGUGAUCACCAUGUGGCGUAGACCUCACAGUCGUGAACAAAGCGUACAUUACAUUAGAUGCAAUCCAUAAGAUAUGUGCAAAAACUGAAAGUAGUCAUAUAAUUUUCAAGCAUAAUCAACAUGUAGCAAUUUAAAAAUUGCACACAUACACAUGUUGACAUUUCAAUAAGCAGAUAUUAGAUGAUACUAUGUUAGAAAAUACUAACAAACACAUAUGUACAAAAACUGAAAGCUAGAAGCUAAUCAGAAAAGAAAAUGAAAAAAAUAACAAUAUGCCAACACAGGCACGCUACUACCCGUGGCAAAGACACACUUGCUUUUCUUUCCUGAUUCUUUUUUUUUCGGACGAGAUAUUUUGUUGCUUGCAUGCAGAAGCCCAUGCCAAACAUAUAUGCGCAUGCAGGAGCGUGGUGGGUUGGUGUGUGUGGUUGGUGUGGUGGCACGUGGGGCGCAUGCAAAGUCUGGUGGAUGGUGAGUGGAAACUAGCAGGCAUGUGGGUGUAUGCGCUGGUGAAUGGAUAGCGUGGUGGGUUGGUGAAUGGAUAAGGAUGCCAUCGUUCCCAUCUUCUUCUCCAUUACCACACAAUACACUGCAGUCUUUCCUUCUUCUCCAUUAGCACACACAUUGCAGCACCCAUUAGCACCACCACCACCAAACUCCACCGUCGGUCACUGCCUCACCGACGCGAGGUCGAAGGCCCCAGCGCAGCAUCCUCCUCCUCUGAAGAAGUACCUCCAGGAAGGUGCGCCCCUGUUGCGACGCCGUUGGAGUGGCCAUUGGCCAGCCCGAGGUUCACCGGGCUCCAUUCUCCCGGUCGACGGCCGGCGUUCUGCAGCACGGCGCGCGGCACUAUGUGCCAGCGACGUGGCGCCGACGGACCAGUGGAGCUUCUCCCUCCGUUGUCGAAGACGUCCCCGAGCGCAGCAGUCCGCGCAGGGAGGUGCAGCCCAAGGCUAGCGCUUGACGAGGAAACACGAGCGGCGACAGCCUCGUGCGCCGGCGUCGGAAAUGGAAGACGCGAGGAGACCGGUUGUGCAUGCUCUGCGGGCAGCACGGGCUCGGCUUCCUCCUGGACCACGUAGUCCAGUGGUGGUGACUGCGACGGAGUCACGCAUGGCCCCCAUCCAUGCACUGGGCAUGGAUGUGGUGGUAGAGGCGCCGCAAGUUUCGUCUCAACGGCGUCGACGUCCAUUGCUCCGUCCACAUGCUCCAUUACUUCGUCCGCGUACAAGUUCGGAGCAGCCGGUCCGGCAAGGAUCCAGGCCGGGAGCGGCGCCGGCGCCGGUUCACGCAAAGCACCGGAAGUCCCAGCACCGUGGCGACCACGGGCGCCAUGCCUAAGACGUGGUGCACGGAGGCGGAAACCGUUCCGUCGACCACCGAACCGGCGAAGAUCGCGGGCGUGACGGUUGUGGCGGAGAAGUCCGCCAACACCAUGGCGACGGCGACGGCUCUGUCGACGUCGACCGCCGUCACGUACGAGGUGCAGGAAGAAGGAUAGGAGACCACGAGGCAUUCUCUUACCUUCUUCUUUCCUCCCUUCUUUCUUCUUUUCCGGCGACUCUCGCCGGAGUUGUUUUGCCUUUUCUCUGCUCUCGGUAGAGUUACGGGCUGAUAACGUGUUUAGAAUGAACUGUCUAUUUCAUUGAUGAUCUGUGAAGAUUAAAUACACACGGAACCGUCGCCACGAACGGAUGCGUCCGCUCGUGGGGGUCGUGGGAAAACCGCCGCGUCGGUUUGCUAGGAACCGCACGAAGCGUUUCUGUACAAGGGAGGAUUAUUCCCUAAUUAACAUAAUUAGUUUAAAUCCUAACAGUUUCAAUUGGUUGUCCGUGCAGGCUCUGUCUGAUCAUGGCCUGUCUGUUCUGAAAUAUGAGCACUUUGCCAAACUGACAUGAUCAACUCUCAUAUAUGUAUUGAAGGGACCACCGGUUAAUUUUCCCGUGAUAUCAAUUGUCCACAAAUUAACCAUGCAAUUCUCAUUACCUUCUUAAUUAAUAAAAAUGACAUGUCUUUUGCCUUGUUUCAAAAAUUAAGGCCUAGGGACAUGAAAGCAAAAAUAGGAAAACACACAAGAACUAUUCAGGUACUAUGCAGACAAGCGGGUUCGAGAACUAUGCAGACAUGCCCCAAGGUACUCCUCGGUCAAUAUCCAAUAGCGGGACCUGGAUGCCCAUAUUGAAUCCUACAUAUUCUCCGAAGAUCUUAUCGGUUGAAUCUGAGUGUCAGGAAUUCAUAUAAUCCCGUAUGUCAUUCCCUUUGUCCUUCGGUAUGUUACUUGCCCGAGAUUUGAUUGUCAGUAUCCGCAUACCUAUUUCAAUCUCGUUACCGGCAAGUCUCUUUACUCGUUCUGUAAUACAAGAUCCCGUGACUUACACUUAGUCACAUUGCUUGCAAGGCUUGUGUGUGAUGUUGUAUUACCGAGUGGGCCCCGAGAUACCUCUCCGUUACACGGAGUGACAAAUCUCAGUCUUGAUCCAUACUAACUCAACGGACACCUUCGGAGAUACCUGUAGAACACCUUUAUAGUCACUCAGUUACGUUGUGACGUUUGAUGCACACAAGGUAUUCCUCCGGUGCCAGUGAGUUAUAUGAUCUCAUGGUCAUAGGAACAAAUACUUGACACGUAGAAAACAAUAGCAAUGAAACAACACGAUCAAUAUGCGAUGUUCAUAGUUUGGGUCUAGUUCAUCACAUGAUUCUCCUAAUGAUGUGAUCCAGUUAUCAAGUGACAACACUUACAUAUAGCCAGAAAACCUUGACUAUCAUUGAUCAACAGCCUAGCCAACUAGAAGCUUGCUAGGGACAUUGUUUUGUCUAUAUAUAUUCACACAUGUAUCUAUGUUUUCAUUCAAUACAGUUAUAUCAUGGAUAAUAAAUGAUUAUAUUUAAACAGGAAAUAUAAUAAUAACUAUUUAUCAUUGCCUCUAGGGCAUAUUUCCAACAUCUAUAGCAUGACACAGAGAUUUGUAAAGCACACGGAUCUGAAAGGUUUAAACCCGUUAACUAAAACCUCUCUCACAAGCAAAACAUGAUAAACCCCCAGAACUUAUUGGGUGUGAAUCAUAUAGUGAUGUGAACUAGAUUAUUGACUCUAGUGCAAGUGAGAGACUGUUGGAAAUAUGCCCCAGAGGCAGUAAUAAAUUAGUUAUUAUUAUAUUUCCUUGUUCAUGAUAAUCGUUUAUUAUUCAUGCUAUAAUUGUACUGAUUGGAAACUCAAAUACAUGUGUGGGUACAUAGACAACACACUAUCCCUAGUGAGCCUCUAAGGACUAUCUCGUUGAUCAAAGAUGGUCAAGGUUUCCUGACCAUGGACAUGAGUUGUCAUUUGAUAAUGGGAUCACAUCAUUAGGAGAAUGGUGUGAUGGACAAGACCCAAACUAUCAACGUAGCAUGUGAUCUUGUCAGUUUAUUGCUACUAUUUUGUGCAUGUCAAGUAUCUGUUUCUAUGACCAUGAGAUCAUGCAACUCCCGGGAACCGGAGGAGUGCAUUGUGUGUAUCAAUCGUCACAACGUAACUGGGUGACUAUAAAGGUGCUCUACACGUAUCUCCAAAGGUGUCUGUUGGGUUGGCAUGAUUCGAGAGUGGGAUUUGUCACUCCCUAUGACGGAGAGGUAUCUCUAGGGCCCACUAGGUAAUACAACAUCAUAAUGAGCUUGCAAGCAAUGUGACUAAGGAGUUAGUCACGGGAUCUUGUAUUACGGAACGAGUAAAGAGACUUGUCGAUAACGAGAUAGAACUAGGUAUGGGGAGGCUCCCGAAGGAGGGAAGCUCCUAGUCGGUGCCUUAAGCGUUCGUUAGGAGAACCAGUGCCCACACACCAAGUUUUAAAUGGGUCGGCCUAGUUUUAGGGCUGAUUUUUAUAUGAAAGCCAAAAAAGAAAAAAAAUGAGCACAAAAGGUUCAUAAAAGUGAAAAAUGGUUCAUAAAUUUUGAAAGAAAAGUUCAUGAAUUCGAAAAAGUUCACUGUGAUCUAAAAAAAUUCACGAAUUUUUAAAAAGUUCACGGAUUUUGAAAAGUUGUUCAUGAAUUUAAAAAAGGUUUUAAAAAAGUUCGUUGAACUAAAAAAGUUCACAAACCUUAAAAAAAUUCAUCCAUGGCAAAAAAGAUCAUGAAAUUUCAGAAAUUUCAUCAAAAUUUCGAAAAAGUUCAUUAAUAUUAAAAAAAGUUGAUAGAAUUUUAAUAAAAUAUUUGGAAUUUUUUGAAAAGGUUUCAUUGAUUUGGGAAAAAGUUUGUUUUUUUGAAGAGAAUUUAAUCAAAAAAAGGUUGCAUUUUUCAAAUAAAUAUAAAAAAUNNNNNNNNNNNNNNNNNNNNNNNNNNNNNNNNNNNNNNNNNNNNNNNNNNNNNNAAUAAAAUGAAAAAGUAAUAAAAAGAGUAAAGACCAGAAACAAACAAAGAAAAAGAGAAAACCCGAAGAGAAACUAGUCCUGAAAAACCCGAAAUGAGAAAACCCAUCUAGGAAGCUUACAGAAACUUCACAAAACCGGAAAAACCUCCCUUCCGCUUGGGUGACCCAUGACCGAACGCUGCUGUGGGCGUCAGUUAAGAAAAAUGCACUUUAACCAAUGCAUGCAGCGCCAAAUAGGAUUUGCCCCGAAGGAGCGCUCCUUAGUUAGUCACUCCCUAGAAAAUGGGCUAGGUGAGUUUAAGUUGGGCUAAAAAUAUAUUGAGAAAGUGGAUACACAAACCUCAGUAGAAUACUCAACAUCUUUGGAAGAUGAGUUUGGGGNNNNNNNNNNNNNNNNNNNNNNNNNNNNNNNNNNNNNNNNNNNNNNNNNNNNNNNNNNNNNNNNNNNNNNNNACUUUUUAAUAAGCUUUUUGGGGGCUUAAAUGCCUUUUUAGGUUUUCAGUUUUCACCUAGUUAUCAUGAGAUUUUGGAGGAGAAAAUAUGGAGAGAAAAAUUAACGAAAAAGUGUGUUUGUUCUUUCACGAGAGGCACAUAUUUGCUUCUCGUGAAGGCACACAUUUGGUUCCAUGAGAGACACAAUUGUGCCUCUACGAGAGGGAAGAACACAUUGUUUUUCUCUUCCAAGAAAGGCACAAGUUUGCGUCUUGUGGAGGUACAUGUUUUGUUCUUUUGGAGGAACAGGUUUGUUGUGAGAGGCCCAGGUUUCCCGCAAGAGGUACAGUUGUGCCUCUCGGAAAAGGAUGAAAAACAUAUACUUUUUGCUUCCACAAGAGUGACAUAUUUGCUACUUGGAGAGACACAUAUUUGCAGUUGUACCUCUCGAAAAGAAAAAAAAUGUGUUUUUUUCCACGAUCCACGAGAGGUAUAAGUUUCUUUUUAUAGAGGCAUAAAUAUGCUUCCAUGAGAGGCACAACCGUGCCUCCCAGAAGAGGAAACAAUGUGUUUUUUCAUGAGAGGCAUAGAUUUGCUUCUCUUGGAGGUACAUAUUUGCUUAUCUGUGAAGGACAAAUUUUCCUCUCGAAAUGAGAAAAAUAAUAUGAAAAGACGCGCUUUCUGCUACGGAAUUUCUGUGAUUUUUUUGUCGAACCUAUUAAUAUGAUAUCAAGAUAUCGAUGCGAGAAAUCCAACGCUGAAAACAGUUUAGGAUUUGAAUGCACGAUUUAAGAGAUGAAAUAUUUUGAAAAAAGAAUGUACAAAAAAAAAGAAACUUACAUGCUGCCACUUGUCAACCCUUGAGGAGGUGGGAGUGGCAUUUCUAAGGGAAACUUAUUAAUUAGUGAUUUCUGAAUUUUGGGGGAAGGUGCUGAGAUGCCUGUAUCCAUGGGUGCGGCUAUGUCCCGCUCGUUGCAGGAUACUAGCUCGUGUUGCUUGAGGGAGACCCUACUGGGCUGCCCAGUAACCCAGGGUGAUGUGAUCAAAAUGUUUAACGAGUACAACAAAAAUGUUGUUUCUAAAGAAAAAAUAUGUGCAAAGCUUAUUAACUAUGUAUACAUGUGUUCUAGAUAGAACUCAUAAAAAUGAAGAAAGAAACAAAAAUCAUGGAAAACCUAUAAAAAUCCACAAAGAAACAAAAAGAAGCAAAGGCAAAACAAAGAAAACAAAAAUGAAACAAACAAAACCAAACUAUAACGAAGAAAGGAAAGCAAACCGAAGAAACCCAGCGAGAAACAAUGAAAACUAAAGUGUAUUGAAAGGGUAAAGAAAAACUAAAGAUAACGGUGAAAAGAUGAAGAAGAGUCAAAAUAAACUGAAGCACAAUGAGUGACUACAGUGACACAGGAAUGCAAGCGAGCGAAUGCGGCUAAUGGGAUGGCCGGAUUAGCUCGCCCGUAGGCGAUUCCAACAAGGAAUCAGUACUGGCGAGAUAUAGCCCCUACGUGUAUCCACAUUUUCACUUCAAUUUUUUGUCGCACAGUGAGCCAGUCUGAUUCGGUUGGUUUAUAUUCAUCUUGGUCACAUACUUUUUUCUUGACGGGAACGCGAGCAUUCCAUUAAGACACAGCGAUAUCGCUGGUCACAAGACUAGUUACAAAGUUCGGGAAAUUCGACAACCAAACAGAUUGGUCACAUACUACUACAAGAGACUAUGCCGAUGAGUUUAGGACCGGUUCAGAUCAGGAGUUGUGCUUUUCCAAAACCGGUUUUGCAGAAAUUCUAAAAACUAUUUUGGAUUUUUAAAUAUUGUUCCUGAAUCUAGAAAAUAUUCUGAAUGAAAAAUUGUUUAGAAUUGAAAAAGGAAUAAAAAGCAUUUACAAAUUUAGGAAAAGGUACAUGAGUUUUAAAAUUGUGACAAAAUUUUGAAAAUAUUAAAGAUCUUGAAAAAAAUUAGUAUAAAUUUAUUAACAACUAAAAUUUGUUCCUUUAGAAAUUCCCAAUUUUCCCAAGAAUAAUUUUCAUUAAAAAAUAAAAAUUUAAAUUAGUAAACAAAAAAAUUGAGAAAUAAAUAAGAACUGGAAAAAGAAAUGAGGAAAGAAGGAAGUCAGACACACGGUGGCCUUAUUGGGCGGACCCACUUAGCGCUGGCAAAUCUAAUAAACGACAUACUACCCUUUUGGGAUAUGGUUAACCAUUUUGAGCCUCUCAGUUUAAAUCCGAUAUUUCAUCCCCACCUCUCCCAACCUCAGUUCUACUUAUUCUUGGACAGUUUUGUGAGAAAUUUGACAGAUGAGUUAAUCCUAGGCAAGAUCCAACCUUCCCAUAUCCUUUGACCAAUCACUUCCAUGAGUUGAGCAAGCUUCAAGCUUUUCGCAUGAUCUUUUUACUCAUGGAGGUUGAAAACCCCUAGAACUUAGGAGUUGCCGGCGAGGAUCCAUUUUAUUUUUAUUUUCCUGGACUUGGUGGAGGUUUGGAAAAGCUAUCUCAAAGUGCGCAGCAGUAAAAAACUACGCAUCCACAAAUAGGAAGGGAGUUGCACAUCAACUAUUAGGUAGUUAGUCGGGGAAGCCGACAAGUUACAAAUCACAAAAAGUUUAUUUUCAUGGUUGCUAGGUUGUAACCUCAUAAGAUGUUAGAUCAUACAACUUCAAAAUUGAUUUUAAAAAAGGUUACACCAUGUAGCAUUAAAGUUGCAGCAAGUAAUAAUAGAGUUGCAUCAUAUAGCAUCACAGUUGACAUGAUUUUUUUCCGUCUAAAUAGACUCAUGCAGGAUCUAGUUCUAAAGAUAUCGUCGUGAGGAUUCCAACUGUAAAAACGAAUUUAAAUUCCGACGCAUGGUUUGAAAUGUAUGAUUUUUCAAAAUUUUGAAAAUUCAAAUAAAUGCACAUGCAGUGUUUCAUAUCUCUGCAAACAAAAAGAAACCCCUAAACGAGACGCAUGCAGUGUCGACGUGGCUGCUCGCUUAAACAAGAUCGUGUGCGCGCACCAUUAAGAUUUUAGGUUAAAUUAAACUCUAGACAACUCACCAAGAGCCUUUCCUUCUCACUAUAACAACCAUGAUGUCCACAAAAAUAUGACAACCAGGAAUAAUCUAUUAGCAAGAAUGUUAUUCUUUAGUCACCCCAAGGAAAAAUAAAAACAAAAGUAUGUGCUUAGAGCCUUAAGACUGACAAGGACUCUCGAGAAUCCACUUGAACUGGACUGGGAUCACAGUUCACAGGAUGACCAAUCAACCUCUUCAAAGGUUUGAACGAGAGUAGCUUCAGUUACAUCACGUUGAAAACUACCUUGCUGCCAUCCUUGGUAUUCCACUAGCAGUAGCGAUCGAUGACGCAGCUCUGGUUUUACUUGAGUAAUAGCCAUAUCACUUUGAUCUAGUUUAAUGACUCUAGAACCACACUUACAUUGUUCUUCAGUGGAGCCACGGGGGGGGGGGGGGGGGGGAUAUAAAGGGAACCACUCAUUUGAGAUGGAGUAAUAUUCUUGGCUCCAUGAUUGCCCCAUCAUAUGCCCCCUGUCACAUCAACAACUGAAGGAAAUCAACUGACAUUGCAACUUCCUGGAAAAUUGGCUUCUGUUGAACGGCGGAAAGUAUAUUUUUGGAUUUUACUGGUUUCCGGUCGAGAUGCGGGAAGUUUCUCUUCUUCCAAUGGAGAAAUUGCGCAGUGCUCCUACCUCUUGACUAUCUCCAUUGUAGACAAAACUCUUGUUUCCAUCUCUAUCAAGUGGUGCGUACUAUUACCGAUAGUGCUUUUGCUCCAAAGAGUAUAUACUCCUGCGCCUCAAAAAUGUAUUUUACCAAGGUUACUUUGUUUUAAAUAGACUAGCAAAAGGGGCCGUGCGUUGCAACGGGAGAAAAAAAUACCACACGCUUUUAAUUUUUUAAUAAUCAUUUUGAUUUAUUAAAAUAAUAAGCUAGGGGGGGGGGGGGGGAACUAACUAAUGUAGUCAGUCCUAUCCUAUUUUGUUGAAAAAUCAACCCGUCCAUUGUUAAUUCCAUCAUGAUGAGAAAUUGAGCGGGACAAGCAAAGCAAAACAAAGAGACUACGUGAAUUGAUCAAUGGACUGUUAUCUUAUUACACUCAUGGGGUAGAAAAUGUGGGAUCAAAUGACAAACUAAAGGUGGUGUUCCAUUCUCUGUCUCUACAAUAAUACAAUCUUACAUUCAAUACAUUCAUUCAUCAGCAAAAAAAUCCCCACAAAACAAAAUUUCUUGCCGGUGCUUGGCACACGGUUGGAGGCAUGGAGAGGGGAUCUCACCAGAUGAUGAGUUUUUGCCGGAGGAGGGGAUACGAUGAGGGGAGCAAGGGUUAUGCGCCUCUAUCUGGCCAUAAGGAGUCGCCGUUGUCGCGCCAUAACCUCGGAGUUCCCCGUGUGAGCCAUGAAGGCCCGCCUCCACUUCGCUCCGCCGCGCCUUAUCCGCGCGCCGCCGUCAUUCUGCAUCGAGCAGACGAAUCAUCCCCAGUCACUGUAGCUGUCGCGUUGAUUUGAUCCAGAAGUUGUGCUCGAGCGCCGAAACGGGGGCAGCAAGCGGGCAGAGGUACAGCCGCGGAGGCGGGUGGGUUGAGAUCGACAACAGUGGUGGUUGAGAUUGGCCGCGGCGGCGAGUGGUGUGGCAGCGGCCUGGGCACAGGCCAGGGUGGACCAGGGUCGACGCAAUGCGCUCGAGCGCCGCAACGGGGGAAGUGAGCGGGGAGAGGUACGGCCGCGGAGGCGGGUGGGUUGAGAUCGGCAGCGGUGGCAGUUGAGGUCGGCCGCGGCGGCGAGUGGUGUGGCGGCGGACUGGGCACAGGCCAGGAUGGUUCAGGGUCGACGGGAGGAGGCAAUGCGUACGGGUAUAAUUUUUGCAGCGAAUCGGCUUUUUCCUUUUGCGUUCCAGAUAAAUGAUGGAGCGCGGGUUGAAUAACAAAAAUCACAGUGGCUUUUUUUUAUAAAAUACCACGAUGGAUUUUCCGACGGAAGCAAUAGCCUCUUUAUUAUUAGAUAUAGAUGUGUUUGUUGUCGUACCUAAAUGGUAAACUUUGGAGGGGGAAGUCAAACCACAAAUCUUCAAAUUUAACACUUAAUUUUUUUUUCCACGCAUAAAGCAGUCCUACCGUUUCGUACAAAAUCUGGCAACCAGUUAAACUAACAUGAACAUCAACAUGAAAAAUCAAAAUAAAUAAAUUGUAUUUACUAUUUAUGGGGGGGGUUACUUUAUUGUUUAUCAAGGAGCAUAUGCUCCGAAGAGUCAAAACCACACUAUUAGAACAUCUAUAGCCAGACCCCUUAAAUCCGGACCCUCAAACGCCGGCGGACGCGUCUCGGCGCGUUCACGGACACUAACGAGUCACGCCUUAAAUAGUACAUUCUACAUACGAACAUCUGAAGUCUCAUAUCUCCAAUCCGUACAACCUUUGCAACUACUACGUCGACGCAUUACACACAUCAUCCGACUACUCCAUCACUACUAGCAUGCCACCGGACAACCAAAAUUUGGCAUAUUUGGCUAUGGUGGAAAUCAUCCACAACUGCCCUUGUCCUUCCCGGUGCCCUUGUCGUUCUUGUCGUGGAACUACCGGUCAAAACCAUAGUACGGAUCGAACCGGAUCUGCUCUCCGCGAGAGCUGUCCUCGCCGUUGCUCACAUUCUUCUCCUCCUUCGGUGGCAGUCCGACCAUUUCAGGGACUGCCCGAUUCUGCUUGCGGGCAAGGGCGCGCGUGUUCUGGUGCUGUCGUUUCUUCGAAAUGCGAGCGCAGAUGGCUUCCUCCUCUGCGGCCGCCCGCUCCGCCGCACCAUCCUCCUCCGCAUCCACCAUUUCCUCCGCGAGAUAGGCAUCGGCGAGCCUUAUAUCUCCUUCCCUCGGUGGGCAGCAUGUUCACAAUGAGAUCCCGCCCCAGAGGAACGGAGCGCCCUUUGAGCGGACGCUAUGGAUUCGCAGCGGAUAGAUCCUACCGUCGGUCGGGCGCUAGCUGUCCUCACGGGAGCGGCAGAAUGCAAUGCGAACUGCCAUUGCCUCCUCCACUUUGCACGGGACGAUCCCUCAGUCAACAUAUCCGGAGUGGUUGGAGUCAGAUCCGCUGGAGACCAUGCCGAAGAAGGCAGGAGACCGACGGAGGUGAGCUUGGGUGAUGGAUGGGAGUGGAAGGGAGUGGAGUGAAGUGGCUAGGGUUUGAUCCGGCCAACGGAUGAGUACAAAUAUAUGUGGGGUCGAUGCAUGCUAGAGCAGACCAGGCGGUCAUGCGAGGGCGCUCCCGAUGUUCCCCAUAUCCGCCCCAUAUUUAGGCUAGAAAUGGGGGUGCCGGUCAGCCCGGGUGUUUGAGGCUUGUUUAAUAGGCCUGUCUAGGUCACAUUUUUGUGACUGUGUAGUGAUCGGACGGCCUGCCCGACCAUUUGAGGAGAGUUUGAGGGUUCCGAUUGUAUAUGCUCUUAGAGCAUCUACAUGUGGAAUAGACAAAUCUAGUCUCUCAAACCCCAACAGACGCGUCCACGGGACACUCAUCAAUAUCAUUCUAUGUACUAAACACCUCAUAGUUGAAAUCUUAGAACCAUACAAAACAUAUGCAAAUGAAACAUCUAUUUACUAUGUAGAUCAACUAAACCUACAUUACAGUACCCGUUGUCAUUGGAGAUGUCCACAUCUACUUGUUAGUCUUCGAGUACAUAGGUGGCCGACGCCACUCCAGUAUCCUCCUCCGCCUCCACUUCCUCCUCUACAUUCAGCUCGUCGAAAAGGGUGCCCAUCUCCUCCCGUUCUUACCGGAUAAAGCACUAGUUGGCCUACGCGUAGGCCUCAUCCUGGAUAGACUCCAGGAUGGUCUGCUGCUCCAUCAUCUUAACCGCUUGAAGGACCUCAAACUUCGUCAUGGCGUCCUCCAUGGCAAGGCUCACAACCGGCUCCGCCACAUCCUCUUCCUCCAGAUUCAACACCUUCAUUGGCAUCGACUGCUUCUCCCCUCCUCUUCCUCCUCGAUUGGCUCCUACGAGUCCGGAGGCAAACCCUUGUCAUGCAUGCGGCACGCCUUACCUGCAUCUCCUCCAGCAUUUUGAAGAAACGCUCCGACGUUAGCAUAGCAUAAGUGGUCAUCUCUGCCGGAUCAUGGCGGAGGCGAACAACGAGGGAAGAGGGAGGCGGAGAGGGAGAGAGGUGGAUGGGUUCGGGCCGGUUGCUUGGGUCAGAGAGAGGACACAAAUGUGGCCAGGGUUGGGGGAUGCCAUCCGGCUUAAAUGGCUGGACUUUGUCCCUCGACGAUGAGCCAGAAUAAGCGUUCACACCCAAUGGAAGGAGACGCCCAUCGGACCAUGGGGUUUUUGGGUGUUUUACUAUGUGAUCGACAUGACGGACAUGCCCAAUCGUGCCUGAACCAUCCCAUAUCCACCCUAGAUUUUAAGUUGGAAUGUAAGAAAUGUAGGUCGGUCGAGAAGACCAAUUUGAUCAGGCCCACAUUUGAAUUGCUUUUUUAACGGUCUGACAGGACCAUCCGCCCGGGUAUGCUCCUACCAACUAAAUUGACCGGAGUAAGAGCAUCUACAGCCGGACCUUGCAAAAACGACCCGAGCGCGUCCGCGGGCACUAACCGGUUAUGCCUCUAAUAAUGCAUUAUACAUCCGGAUACCUUAAAUUAUAAAUCUCAAAUCAAUACUGUUAGAUGCAAUUUAUGUUGGGGAACGUCGCAAGGGAAACAAAAUUUUUCCUACGCGCACGAAGACCUAUCAUGGUGAUGUCCAUCUACGAGAGGGGAUGAGUGAUCUACGUACCCUUGUAGAUCGUACAGCAGAAGCGUUAGUGAACGCGGUUGAUGUAGUGGAACGUCCUCACGUCCCUCGAUCCGCCCCGCGAACAAUCCCGCGAUCAGUCCCACGAUCUAGUACCGAACGGACGGCACCUCCGCGUUCAGCACACAUACAGCUCGACGAUGAUCUCGGCCUUCUUGAUCCAGCAAGAGAGACGGAGAGGUAGAAGAGUUCUCCGGCAGCGUGACGGCGCUCCGGAGGUUGGUGAUGACCUUGUCUCAGCAGGGCUCCGCCCGAGCUCCGCAGAAACGCGAUCUAGAGGAAAAACCGUGGAGGUAUGUGGUCGGGCUGCCGUGAGAAAGUCGUCUCAAAUCAGCCCUAAAACCUCCGUAUAUAUAGGUGGGAGGGGAGGAGGCAGCCUCAAAACCUAAAGGUUUGGCCGAAAUUGGAGGUGGAGGAGUCCUACUCCAAUCCUACUUGGAGUAGGAUUCCACCUUCCCACUUGGAAACUCUUUCCACCUUGUGUUUUUUCCUUCUCAAACCUUAUGGGCCUUAGUGGGAACUUAUUCCAGCCCACUAGGGGCUGGUUUAUCUCUUCCCAUAGCCCAUGAGACCCCUUGGGGCGUGACACCCCUCCCGAUGGUCCCCGGCACCCCUCCCGGCACUCCCGGUACACUACCGAUGAGCCCGAAACUUUUCCGGUAAUGCACGAAAACCUUCCGGUAACCAAAUGAGGUCAUCCUAUAUAUCAAUCUUCGUUUCCGGACCAUUCCGGAAACCCUCGUGACGUCCGUGAUCUCAUCCGGGACUCCGAACAACAUUCGGUAACCAACCAUAUAACUCAAAUACGUCAUAAAACAACGUCGAACCUUAAGUGUGCAGACCCUGCGGGUUCGAGAACUAUGUAGACAUGACCCGAGAGACUCCUCGGUCAAUAUCCAAUAGCGGGACCUGGAUGCCCAUAUUGGAUCCUACAUAUUCUACGAAGAUCUUAUCGUUUGAACCUCAGUGCCAAGGAUUCAUAUAAUCCCGUAUGUCAUUCCCUUUGUCCUUCGGUAUGUUACUUGCCCGAGAUUCGAUCGUUAGUAUCCGUAUACCUAUUUCAAUCUCGUUUACUGGCAAGUCUCUUUACUCGUUCCGUAAUACAAGAUCCCGCAACUUACACUAAGUUACAUUGCUUGCAAGGCUUGUGUGUGAUGUUGUAUUACCGAGUGGGCCCCGAGAUACCUCUCCGUUCACACGGAGUGACAAAUCCCAGUCUUGAUCCAUACUAACUCAACUAACACCUUCGGAGAUACCUGUAGAGCAUCUUUAUAGUCACCCAGUUACGUUGCGACGUUUGAUACACACAAAGCAUUCCUCCGGUGUCAGUGAGUUAUAUGAUCUCAUGGUCAUAGGAAUAAAUACUUGACACGCAGAAAACAGUAGCAACAAAAUGACACGAUCAACAUGCUACGUCUAUUAGUUUGGGUCUAGUCCAUCACAUGAUUCUCCUAAUGAUGUGAUCCCGUUAUCAAGUGACAACACUUGCCUAUGGCCAGGAAACCUUGACCAUCUUUGAUUAACGAGCUAGUCAACUAGAGGCUUACUAGGGACAGUGUUUUGUCUAUGUAUCCACACAAGUAUUGUGUUUCCAAUCAAUACAAUUAUAGCAUGGAUAAUAAACGAUUAUCAUGGACUAAGAAAUAUAAUAAUAACUAAUUUAUUAUUGCCUCUAGGGCAUAUUUCCAACAGUCUCCCACUUGCACUAGAGUCAAUAAUCUAGUUCACAUCACCAUGUGAUUCCAACGAAUCCAACACCCAUAUAGUUAUGGGGUCUGAUCAUGUCUUGCUUGUGAGAGAGGUUUUAGUCAACGGUUCUGAAACAUUCAGACCCGUGCGUUCUUUACAAAUCUUGAUGUCAUCUUAUAGAUGCUGCUACUACGUGCUAUUCGGAAAUGCUCCAAAUAUCCACUCUACUAUAUGAAUCCGUUUCACUACUCAUAGUUAUUCAGAUUAGUGUCAAAGCUUGCAUCGACGUUACCCUUUACGACGAACUCUUUAACCACCUCCAUAAUCGAGAAAAAUUCCUUAGUCCAUUUGUUACUAAGGAUAAAUUUUGACCGCUGCUAGUGAUUCAAACAUGGAUCACUCUCUGUACCUCUCAACAUACUUUGAGUCAAGGCACACUUCAGGUGCGGUACACAGCAUGGCAUACUUUAGAUUCUACGGCUAAGGCAUAGAAGACGACCUUCAUCUAUUCUCUUUAUUCUGCCGUGGUCGGGUUUUGAGUCUUACUCAAAUUCACACCUCACAACGCAACCAAGAACUCCUUCUUUGCUGGUCUAUUUUGAACUCUUUCAAAAACUUGUCAAGGCAUGCAUCUUGUUGAAACUUCCAUUAAGCGCUUUCGAUCUAUCUCCAUAGAUCUUUGAUGCUCAACCUUCAAGUAGCAUAAUCCAGGUACUCCUUUGAAAACUUCUUUCAAACAACCUUGUAUGCUUUACAGAAAUUCUACAUUACUUCUGAUCCACAAUAUGUCAACCACAUAUACCUAUCAGAAAUUCUAUAGUGCUCCCACUCACUUCUUUGGAAAUACAAGUUUCUCAUAAACCUUGUACACACCCAAAAUCUUUGAUCAUCUCAUCAAAGUGCUUAUUCCAACUCCGAGAUGCUUGCACCAGUCCAUUGAAGGAUCACUGGAGCUUGCAUACUUGCUAGUAUCUUUAGGAUCGACAAAACCUUCUGGUUGUAUCACAUACAAUGUUUGCUCAAGGAAACCGUCGAGGAAACAAUGUUUUGACAUCCUACGUGCAAUAUUUCAUAAAUAAUGCAGCAACUACUAACAUAAUUCUAACAGACCUUUAGCAUCGCUACGAGUGAGAAAGACUCAUCAUAGUCAACUGUUUGAUCUUGUCGAAAACAUCUUUGCGACAAGUCGAGCUUUUCUUAAUAGUGACUUAUCACCAUCAUCGUCUGUCUUCUUUUAAAGAUCCAUUUUACCCAAUAGUCCCAUGACCAUCAAGUAGUUCUACCAAAGUCUACACUUUGUUUUCACACAUGGAUCCUCUCUCGGAUUUUAUGGCUUCUAGCCAUUUGUCGGAAUCUGGGCCCACCAUCGCUUUCUCCAUAACUCGUAGGUUCACUGUUGCUCAACAACAUGACCUCCAAGACAGGGUUAUCGUACUACUCUGCAGCAGUACGCGACCUUGUCGACCUACGAGGUUUGUAGUAACUUGAUUCGAAGCUUAAUGAUCACCAUCAUCAGCUUCCACUUCAAUUGGUGUAGGCGCCACAGGAACAACUUCCUACGCCCUGCUACACACUGGUUGAAGUGAUGGUUCAAUAACCUCAUCAAGUUCUACUACCCUCCCACUCAAUUCUUUCGAGAGAAACCUUUUCUCGAGAAAGGAUCCGUUUCUAGAAACAAACACUUUGCUUUCGGAUCUGAGAUAGGAGAUGUACCCAACUGUUUUGGAUAUCCUGUGAAGAUGCAUUUAUCCGCUUUGGGUUCGAGCUUAUCAGACUGAAACUUUUUCACAUAAGUUUCGAAGCCCCAAACUUUCAAGAAACGACAGUUUAGAUUUCUCUAAACCUCAGUCUAUACUGUGUCAUCUCAACGGAAAUACGCGGUGCCCCAUUUAAAGUGAAUGUGGUUGUCUCUAAUGCAUAACCCAUAAACGAUAGUGGUAAUUCGAUAAGAGACAUCCCAGCAUGCACCAUACUAAAUAGUGCGUGGCUAUGACGUUCAGACACAUAAUCACACCAUGAUGUUCCAGGUGGCAUGAACUGUGAAACAAUUUCCACAUUGUCUUAACUGUGUACCAAAAAUUCGUAACUCAGAUAUUCAUUUCUAUGAUCAUAUCGUAGACAGUUCAUCCUCUUGUUACGACGAACUUCACUCUGAAACAGAAUUGAACUUUUCAAUAUUUCAGACUUGUGAUUCAUUAAGUAAAUACUCCUGUAUCUACUCAAGUCGUCAGUGAAGUAAGAACAUAAUGAUAUCCACUGCGUGCCUCAACACUCACUGGACUGCAUACAUCAAAAUGUAUCACUUCCAACAAGUUACUAUCUUGUUUCAUCUCAAUGAAAACAAGGCCUUGCUCAUGUGGUAUGAUUUGCAUGUCACUAGUUAUUCGAAAUCAGGUGAGUAAAGAUCCAUCAGCAUGGAGCCUCUUCAUGCAAUUUAUACUAACAUGACUCAAGCGGCAGUGCCACAAGUAAGUGGUACUAUCAUCAUUUAACUCGUAUCUUUUGGCACCAAUGUGUAACACUACAAUCGAGAUUCAAUAAACCAUUGAAGGUGAUUAUUCAAGCAAAUAGAGUAACCAUUAUUCCUUUUGAAUGAAUAAUCGUAUUGCAAUAAACACGAUCCAAUCAUGUUCAUGCUUAACGCAAGCACCAAAUAACAAUUAUUUAGGUUCAACACCAAUCCCGAUGGUAAAGGGGGCGUGUGACGUUUGAUCAUAUCAACCUUGGAAACACUUCCAACACGUAUCGUCACCUCGCCUUUAGCUAGUCUCCGUUUAUGCCGUAGCUUUCAUUUCGCGUUACUAAUCACUUAGCAACCGAACCAGUAUCCAAUACCCUCGUGCUACUAGGAGUACUAGUAAAGUACACAUCAACAUUAUGUAUAUCAAAUAUACUUCUCUCGACUUUUGCCAGCCUUCUUAUCUACCAAGUAUCUAGAGUUGCUCCGCCUCAGUGACUGUUCCCCUUAUUACAGAAGCACUUAGUCUCGGGUUUGGGUUUAAUCUUGGGUCUCUUCAUUAGUGCAGCAACUGUUUUGCCGUUUCACGAAGUAUCCCUUCUAGCCCUCGCCUUUCUUGAAACUUAGUGGUCUUUCAAACCAUCAACUAUUGAUGCUCCUUCUUGAUUUCUACUUUCGCAGUGUCAAACAUCGCGAAUCUCUCAAAGAUCAUUGUAUCUAUCCUUGAUAUGUUAUAGUUCAUCACGAAGCUCUCAAAGCUUGGUGGCAGUGACUUUUGGAGAACCAUCACUAUCUUAUCUGGAAGAUUAGCUCCCACUUGAUUCAAGUGAUUGUCGUACUCAGACAAUCUGAGCACACGCUCAACGAUUGAGCUUUUCUCCUUUACUUUGUGGUCAAAGAAUUUUGUUGGAGGUCUCGUACCUCUUAACAAGGGCACAAGUAUGAAAUCACAAUUUCAUCUCUUUAGAACAUCACUUAUGUUCCGUGACGUUUAAAACAUUUUCGGUGCCUUGCUUCUAAGCCAUUAAGUACUUUGCACUGAACUAUCGUGUAGUCAUCAGAAACGUGUAUGUCGGAUGUUCACAGCAUCCACAGACGACGCUCGAGGUGCAGCACACCGAGUGGUGCAUUAAGGACAUAAGCCUUCUGCGCAGCAACGAGGACAAUCCUCGGUUUUACAGACUCAGUCUUCAAAGUUUGCUACUAUCAAUUUUCAACUAAAUUUUCUCUAGGAACAUCAAAAAACAGUAGAGCUAUAGCGCAAGCUACAUCGUAAUUCGCAAAGACCAUUAGACUAUGUUCAUGACAAUUAGUUCAAUUAAUCAUAUUACUUAAGAACUCCCACUCAAAAAGUACAUCUCUCUAGUCAUUUGAGUGGUACAUGAUCCAAAUCCACUAUCUCAAGUCCGAUCAUCACGUGAGUCGAGAAUAGUUUCAGUGGUAAGCAUCCCUAUGCUAAUCAUAUCAACUAUACGAUUCAUGCUCGACCUUUCGGUCUCAUGUGUUCCGAGGCCAUGUCUGCACAUGCUAGGCUCGUCAAGCUUAACCCGAGUGUUCUGCGUGUGCAACUAUUUUGCACCCGUUGUAUGUGAACGUUGAGUCUAUCACACCCGAUCAUCACGUGGUGUCUCGAAACGAAGAACUGUCGCAACGGUGCACAGUCGGGGAGAACACAACUUCGUCUUGAAAUUUUAGUGAGAGAUCACCUCAUAAUGCUACCGUCGUUCUAAGCAAAAUAAGGUGCAUAAAAGGAUUAACAUCACAUGCAAUUCAUAAGUGACAUGAUAUGGCCAUCAUCACGUGCUUCUUGAUCUCCAUCACCAAAGCACCGGCACGAUCUUCUUGUCACCGGCGCCACACCAUGAUCAUCCAUCAACGUGUUGCCAUCGGGGUUGUCGUGCUACUUAUGCUAUUACUACUAAAGCUACAUCCUAGCAAAAUAGUAAACGCAUCUGCAAGCACAAACGCUAGUAUAAAGACAACCCUAUGGCUCCUGCCGGUUGCCGUACCAUCGACGUGCAAGUCGAUAUUUCUAUUACAACAUGAUCAUCUCAUACAUCCAAUAUAUCACAUCACAUCAUUGGCCAUAUCACAUCACAAUCAUACCCUGCAAAAACAAGUUAGACGUCCUCUAAUUCUGUUGUUGCAUGUUUUACGUGGUGACCAAGGGUAUCUAGUAGGAUCGCAUCUUACUUACGCAAACACCACAACGGAGAUAUAUGAAUUGCUAUUUAACCUCAUCCAAGGACCUCCUCGGUCAAAUCCGAUUCAACUAAAGUUGGAGAAACCGUCACUUGCCAGUCAUCUUUGAGCAAAGGGGGUUACUCGUAACGAUGAAACCAGUCUCUCGUAAGCGUACGAGUAAUGUCGGUCCAAGCCGCUUCAAUCCAACAAUACCGCGGAAUCAAGAAAAGACUAAGGAGGGCAGCAAAACGCACAUCACCGCCCACAAAACCUUUUGUGUUCUACUCGAGAAGACAUCUACGCAUGAACCUAGCUCAUGAUGCCACUGUUGGGGAACGUCGCAAGGGAAACAAAAAUUUUCCUACGCGCACGAAGACCUAUCAUGGUGAUGUCCAUCUACGAGAGGGGAUGAGUGAUCUACGUACCCUUGUAGAUCGUACAGCAGAAGCGUUAGAGAACGCGGUUGAUGUAGUGGAACGUCCUCACGUUCCUCGAUCCGCCCCGCGAACAAUCCCGCGAUCAGUCCCACGAUCUAGUACCGAAUGGACGGCACCUCCGCUUUCAGCACACGUACAGCUCGACGAUGAUCUCGGCCUUCUUGAUCCAGCAAGAGAGACAGAGAGGUAGAAGAGUUCUCCGACAGCGUGACGGCGCUCCGGAGGUUGGUGAUGAUCUCGUCUCAGCAGGGCUCCGCCCGAGCUCCGCAGAAACGCGAUCUAGAGGAAAAACCGUGGAGGUAUGUGGUCGGGCUGCCGUGAGAAAGUCGUCUCAAAUCAGCCCUAAAACCUCCGUAUAUAUAGGUGGGAGGGAGGGGAGGAGGCAGCCUCAAAACCUAAAGGUUUGGCCGAAAUUGGAGGUGGAGGAGUCCUACUCCAAUCCUACUUGGAGUAGGAUUCCACCUUCCCACUUGGAAACUCUUUCCACCUUGUGUUUUUUCCUUCUCAAACCUUAUGGGCCUUAGUGGGAACUUAUUCCAGCCCACUAGGGGCUGGUUUAUCUCUUCCCAUAGCCCAUGAGACCCCUUGGGGCGUGACACCCCUCCCGAUGGUCCCCGGCACCCCUCCCGGCACUCCCGGUACACUACCGAUGAGCCCGAAACUUUUCCGGUAAUGCACGAAAACCUUCCGGUAACCAAAUGAGGUCAUCCUAUAUAUCAAUCUUCGUUUCCGGACCAUUCCGGAAACCCUCGUGACGUCCGUGAUCUCAUCCGGGACUCCGAACAACAUUCGGUAACCAACCAUAUAACUCAAAUACGUCAUAAAACAACGUCGAACCUUAAGUGUGCAGACCCUGCGGGUUCGAGAACUAUGUAGACAUGACCCGAGAGACUCCUCGGUCAAUAUCCAAUAGCGGGACCUGGAUGCCCAUAUUGGAUCCUACAUAUUCUACGAAGAUCUUAUCGUUUGAACCUCAGUGCCAAGGAUUCAUAUAAUCCCGUAUGUCAUUCCCUUUGUCCUUCGGUAUGUUACUUGCCCGAGAUUCGAUCGUUAGUAUCCGUAUACCUAUUUCAAUCUCGUUUACUGGCAAGUCUCUUUACUCGUUCCGUAAUACAAGAUCCCGCAACUUACACUAAGUUACAUUGCUUNNNNNNNNNNNNNNNNNNNNNNNNNNNNNNNNNNNNNNNNNNNNNNNNNNNNNNNNNNNNNNNNNNNNNNNNNNNNNNNNNNNNNNNNNNNNNNNNNNNNCUUCUAAGAGAUCAGUCACAUUUGGCGGCUGUCACUACGCGUUUGCAGUGAGUUUUGUCAUAUUUUUUUUUGUUUUUUUAGUGUGCUUGAUUUUUUUUUCUUUUGCUAGAGGCAUAUAUUUACUNUUUCAUGCUUCUGCUAGGUUUCAUAUCUUGACAAUGUGCAUUUUGGCCUUAAUGCACUCCCUGACAUAAAGCCUAGGAUUCUAGUUUGGAGAGAAAUAAAGUUAAGCACUUCUCAGACGUGGAUAAGUGCAAUAGUCGUUCUUAUGGUAAGAGGCCAUUGAAGCGUUUGUCCCCGUCUUUGUACGCUCCAGUAAGUUUUCUUUGUAUGUUUGCUUUUCAUUUUGUUCCAUUUUAUUGUUAGUUUUUGUUUUUAUGUUAGAUCUUUAUGUAUUUUCUCCUUUUGUUUUGGCUCAGAAGUCUUGUGAGAAGUUUUCAUGCUCAAGAGGUCGUGAUGCAGCUACAUCUAAAAUUCCUUUUGCAAACAAUACAACAACUUCAGAAGUUAAUGCUCCAGCUGGUUCAAAUGUGUCAUUUGCAUCUAAAGUUGAAUCAGCUUAUGCUUCUUGUCUCGGUAUUGAGGUUAGUGUUGUUUUGGUCUUUCUUGUAUUUUCUCUCUUAUUUGUUUAUUUAUUGUGUCUUGUUUUUAUUUGUGUUAUUUUUAUGCGCUAAUGAUUUUAGUUGGGGGGGGGGNNNNNNNNNNNNNNNNNNNNNNNNNNNNNNNNNNNNNNNNNNNNNNNNNNNNNNNNNNNNNNNNNNNNNNNNNNNNNNNNNNNNNNNNNNNNNNNNNNNNAUUAGUUGCGUAGUUGUAUUAUUUUUCUUGUUUUCUUUUUUUUUUAUGUUCUCAAGUGAUUUUUGUUCAUUUGUUGUGCUUGUUUUCCAGGUAGCUCUUUGAAAAGGUGCAAGCCUAAUGUUGGCUUGAUUUCUAAUGUUAGACCUUCCAUGCAUCGCUUCAAGUCUGAUUGUGCAUCAAAGGAUGACCAUUGUGUCAAGAAGGCAGAUCAGAUCUUUCGUUCAGCUGGUGUAGAUUUUGAAUUUCAUCCAGAUACAAGAAACCACUCACCUCUUCUUCCAGUCAGGCUAUCCCAACGAUUUAUUGAUGAUGUUGGUUUUUCUUGUUUCUUUUGUAUUCUUUUGUUUCUAGUGCAUUUCUGUUCUUGUUAUGUUAACUGUUAUGUUCUAUUCAUUUCAUGUUGCAUACAGAUCGACAGAGUUCAGUGUUCGCAAUAUGUGUCUGAAAGAAUUAGGAACUCUCCCAAGACUCCUUUUGAACAUGUUAUUUUUAUGUGCUUCUUGCUUUUAGUUUCUUUUUGCAAUUCAUUGUAUGUUUUUUUGUCUUUGUUAUAUGUCUUUAGUUAUUUUAUUAGUUUUUAUUUUUGUCAGGACGGUGUGCUUAUGGUAGCACUUCCUCCUUCCAACAAUUCAAACCCAGUUCAAUCAUCAAAUAAAAAUCAUGUUGACCUCACCUCUCCAGAAGCAUUAAAUGAGUUCUUCAAUGGGAGAGAUGAUGUAAUUGUACUUGUUCUGUAUUUUCAUUGUUAUUUUCUUUUUUCUUUUUGUUCUUAUUCGGUGUUUUGUUCCCUAUUUGUUUUUCCUGCAGGUAGUUGGUAUUGAUGAAGUUCAAAUAGUUGGCACCUCCAUAUUUUCUGAUCGGUGUGUUAAUUUCACAAAGAAGACGAAUGAAGCUUAUAACCAGCUCAACAAAUUAGCAUCGUCUUCUUCCUUCUCUCUGGUUUGUUUUUGUUUCUUCUGUGUAUCUCCCUUCAUUUUCUUUUGUUCAAGUUUUUGUUGUUGUAUGUUAUCAAUGUUUUUUAGUGUAUUAGUUUAGUUAUUAUAAUUUCAUUAUCUCUUCAGUGUAAUUAUUGUGUAGUUGCUAGUGUUAUUAUUAUAAGUGUUUCUUGAGAAUCCAAUUUUUUUUUGUAGGGUGCUGUAAAUAGCCCUGAAGUCCUUAUCAUCUCUGAUCCUGAUUGUGUUGCAAAGUUAAAGGCAGCCCAUCAGCAUAAUAUAUCAAUCACUUCUAAAGUUUCUGAUUGUUCAACAUCAACAAUUCAGCAUGUCCCUCGAAGGAUUGUUGGAGCAGCUAGAUUCAAUUUAGAUCCUUAUGUUCAGCAGAUGAAUCGUUUUCCUGUCGCUUUGCAAGAAAGGAAGCAUUAUUUUGCAAUGAACCGGAUUGGCAAAGAUGACGUUUUGUGCAAGUAUGAUAUUUCUUUUUUUUUCUUGUACCUUUUUCUUAGUUCUGUUCGUGAUUUGUGUAUUUACUUUUUGUUUCCUUUGUGAUUGAUUGUUUCUUUUAUUUUCUUUCUACCAGAUAUGAUAGAGCAUUCUGUUCAUACCGCUCACUUGCUUCCCUCUGCCCUAAUGGCCACAUAGAUAACUUCUUGCUUCUAUGUUUCCGUCGAUAUCUUUUCAACAAGUGUCAUCCUUCUAAAUCGAAGAAACAUUUCUUCUUCAGUUAUGUUGGGGUAUGCUAGCUUGUAUUCCUUUUCAUUUUCUAUAUGUAUUUCUUUUGUUCUUUUCUAUAUGUAUUGUAUUGUUUUUUUCUUUUUCUUAUCGGUGUGACAAAGUAGUUAUCUGAAUUGGUGCAGGAGAGCAUAUUGAAUAACAAUAAUCCAGACACAAGGAAUCCAACAAUUGUUCAUAACGCUUUUGAGGGAGCUUGCAGUGCUUAUCUGCUAUGGAGAUCGAACUUUGUAAGUGCAAGUUAUAUCUUUUUGUUAUCUCUUGUUUGUGUUCAUGCUUUUUUGCUCAUUGUUUUUGUUAUCUCUUGUUUGUGUUCAUGCUUUUUUGCUCAUUGUUAUAUCUUUUUGUUAUCUCUUGUUUGUUAUCUCUUGUUUGUUUGUGUUCAUGAAUAACAAUAAUCUGUCUCAUUGUUUUUUUGCUUUUUUAUCUUUUUUUAUUUCAGUUGUACUUCCCUAUUGGUCUAGAAAAACACUGGUUCUCGUUUGUUGUUUGUUUGAGAGAUAAAGCUUUUGUGUUUUUUGAUUCGGCAUAUGGAGAGAACUCAAUGUAUCACAAAGCUAUCCGCAAUGAGAUGGUAAUUUUUCUUCAACCUUUGUCUCUUAAUAUACUGUAACUCUACUGUAAUAGUAAUGUAAUUCUUGUAUUUUUUGUUCCUUCGCUGUAGAUCUACUAUAAUAGUACUGUAAUUCUUGUAAUGAGGAUCUACUGUAAUAGUACUUUAUCUUUUUGUUAGUGCUUUAGUUGUGUAAUUGUUGUUGUUUUUAGUGUUAGUUUCAUUGGGUUCAGUAUGCACAUAGUAUUUUUGUGAGUGGUUUUGUUAGUGGGUGCUCACUGUAUUUUUUUGUACUUGUUUUACUGUGUAAAUCUAGGUAGUUUUUUACUGUGUAAUUUUUUUGUUUUAAGUCUAUCUGGAUUUACACUAUAAGUGUUAGUAAUUGUAGUAGAUCAUCACUGUAUUUUUUGAUAGUUGUUUUAAUGUGUAAAUCCAGGUUGUAUUUUACCGUGUAAUUUUCUGUUUUUAAGCCUUCCUGGAUUAACACUGUAAGUCUUUAGUAGAUGCUCACUGUAUUUUUUGUUAGUUGUAUUACUUUGUGAUUCUAGUUGUGUUUUACACUGUAAUUCUUGGUAUUUUACACUGUAAGUCUUAGUAGGUGCUCACUGUAUUUUUUGUUAGUUGUUUUACUGUGUAAUUCUAGUUGUGUUUACACUGUAAUUAUUGGUAUUUACACUGUAAGUCUUUAGUAGAUGCUCACUGUAAUUUUUGUUAGAUGUUUUACUCUGUAAUUCUUGUUGUGUUUACACUGUAAUUCUUGGUAUUUACACUGUAAGUCUUAGUAGAUGCUCACUGUAAUUUUUAUUACAUGUUUUACUGUGUAAUUCUUGGUGGAUUCUCGCUAUAAGUUUUAUUAGUUUUUUUCCAUUUUAAACUGCAAGUUUGUUUUCUGCAGUUAUUUGGUUUUGGUAUGUUUUCCUCAUUUUUUAGUUCCACCACAGGUUAAUAAUUUCACUAGUCUUUGGCAUGAGUUUGUCACUCCUAUGAUGAAUAGAAGGAUUGCUUUCGAAUCCUUUGAUGUGCUAUAUCGAGCUGUUCCUACGCAAGAUAAUUGGUAUUUUUUGGGGGGGGGGGGCUUUUAAUGUUUUGUUUUUCUAUAUAGGAUUUAUGAUAGCUACGCUUCUAUUUCUUAUUUGUUUUUUUUCUUUUUCAGCGAUGACUGUGGUGUCUUCACAUUCAAGUUUAUGGAGAUAUUCACACCAAGAACCCAAAUGGCAAACCUUUUCUCUAGUGCAGACAUUUUAAAUCUUAGGAUCAGAUAUGCAAAUGAGAUGUUCUUCAGCCCCUUGAAGAGCUGUGACAAAUCUUUUGUGAGGGGGGGGGGGGGGGGUCAUGUAUGUUUUUAUUUUCCUUGUCAUGUAUUGUUUUUUUGUCUCCUCAUUUUUACUUUUACUUUUUCUUUUUACUAAUUUGGCUUUCUUUGAAUUUUUUGUAGGAAGACAAUGCCAACUGAUGUUUAGGACACGUGUAGUCAUAGCUGGAAGACAAUGCCAACUGAGGUUUAGGACACGUGUAGUCAUAGCUGGAGUGGUGGCUGGGUUUUUUUUCAUUAGCAUGUUGUUUGAAGAAAAGUUAUCAUGCAUUUGUUGUGGAUAGUAGUGUUAUGUUUUUAGUAGUGAUAGUAUGUUCCAUUUUGAUUGUAAGCUGGGUUUUUUUUGCGAUGUCUAUGUUGGUGUUGCUCGACGGUACUUAUUUUCAGGACACUAGUAGUAUGCUUUUUUAUCUUGCUUAUUGAUCUUAAUGAUCUAUACUUAUUUUCAGGACACUAGUAGUAUGCUUUUUUAUCUUGCUUAUUGAUCUUAAUAAUAUGUUCGAGGUGUUACUUUUUUUCUUAAUGAUCUUUGUUUCUUGUAUCUCACCCUAUCCUUCUCCACAUGGGGGGGGGGGGGGGGGGGUUUUAUUUUUGUGCAGGUUAAGCUACUAAUUUUUGACGGUCUACUGAUGAUUUCUCAAACUCUGUAUCAGAGGUUAGUUUUGUUUUCUGUACCUUGCCAUUUUACCAUUUUUAUAUAUUGGGGUUUAUGUCUUGCUUUCAGUUCACUACAUUGUUCUCUAGGAUAAAUUGUUUAAGAAACUCUUCAGACAUUAAAAUUAGAAAGAUACUCAAGCAUGUAGUAAUUAACAUUUUAUCAGUUCUUACAAAAACUUCUCCACAACUGAAAAGUUCGUUACAUAGGCAGUACCCAAUCUCAUACAAAAGUAGUUAUGCCCAUAUAUAUCAGUUCUUUUUCGCUUGUGUUUGUACCAGUAGCUUCUUGCCCCCUAGGUGUCUCUGUCUUCCAAAUGGUCAUCUCUAGCUAUAGGAUUUUGUCCCUAUUGCUGGAACGGUUCAUCGAGCAUCCCUGAUCUUCCUCCAGUUACUUUCUCUUCUCCAGUCAUCUGCUUCUUCUGUGUCUUCUGUCCUGCAAUUUUUGUAUGUUCAAAGAGUUAGGUUGUAAUCUGAUAUUUUCUUAGUUUGUGUUUUUUUCUUAAUAGUGUAUAUUUCAUCACCUUUCUUUACAUUCCUUGGGUUUGACUGUUUUGCUCUCCUUCUCUUUUGUAGAUUGUACUCUUUAUCCAAGUUCGUACAAUUCUUUAUUGUGUGCCUGUCAGAAUGAAAAUGGUUGCAUUUGUAGAACUUGUUCUGCUUGAUAGCUUCUCUGAUACUUAGCAUCCUAGGGCGUCCUUUUGUAGCAGAAACAUCAGGGUCUUGUAUGUUCAUCUUGGAUGUAGUCUCUUCUGCUUCUAUGUUUGUUGCUACAACUGUCACUGUUCUAGUAGAUCCACUCUGGACAUUCAUGUCACUUUCUGAUUCUUCAUCCAUCUCCUCCAACCUCUUUUGUAUCCUAUCUAUUUCUCUUAGGAAGUACUCGUAUUUUCUUUUCUUCUUUGAUGCAUUCGAUGAGACAUAUACUAGUUUUCUCUGCAGAACAUUGUACCUUAGUGUCGAGUUCUCAGCCACAAUUGGAGGUGGAUCAGUUGAAUGUAUCUUUUGGUCACUUUUCCUCCACCUGUCAAUUAUAUACUUCUCUGGUAUCUUUUCCCUAUUCAAAUGGAGCAUCACUUUCAGUAUGUGUGAGCAGAGUAACCCAUCUUUCUGGAAUCCACAACAUAUGCAUGAGUAUUCUUCAUAGUUCAAGUCCAUUUGCACUAGGUAUUGUCUUUUCCGACGCUCUUUCAAAGGAUAGUUCUCAGCUUGGUACACAAGAUAGCUCCUGUCCUUCUCAUGCUCUGUUAUAUGUAGCCUUGUUGUGUCUUCCAUUUUUUUCUGGAACUUCCUGAAUAUGCCUAUGUUGUAUAGUUCAUGCACUUGUGUUUCAAUGCCAUACUUAGACCAAAAUUUCUUCAGUGCAACCUUCUUGUUCCUUGAUAAAUGAUCACACUCUUGUUCCCUGUCUUGGAUGACAUCUAUUAUCCUGUCAUACUCUCUUAGGAAACUUGUAACACUGAAUUUUGCCCCAACUCCUUUCUUGAACAAUGAAUUUGUUCCUUCGCUCCUCGCGUGGUUUGAAUGAAAGGAAAGAACUUGUCUCUGAAGUACACAUGAACAAACUUUUGUCUUGCUUCCCACAUAUCAUUGAAGUACUUGAUAUGUUGAACUUCAUAUUUAGCUAUCAUCUCUGUCCAGUUUGUUUCGAACUCUUCAAUUGUGAGUGAGUUGUCUAUAAUGUCCUGGAAGUCCUCAUACAACCCUUCAUUAGCUUGGAAACAAGGUCCUGCCUUCUCCUCUGAUUUCUUCUUUAUGUGGAACAAGCAAACUCUGUGUAUUGCUUUUGUAAAUACAUUUCUGAUUGCUGCAUCCAUUGCUUUGUCUUGAUCAGUGAUUAUAGAUAUAGGAUGUUUUCCUCCCAUUGCUGUUAAGAAUUGGUUGAAUAGCCAAGUGAAGGUGUUUGCUUUCUCAUCCACUAUGAAUGCGCAAGCAAAUAGAUAGGUGUUUCCAUGUGGUGACACUCCAACAAAUGGUGCGAAGGGCAGAUUGUACUUGUUUGUUAGGAAAGUAGUGUCGAAACUGAUGCAGUCUCCACAUAUGUCGUACAUUAGCCUUGACUUUGCAUCAGCCCAGAAGAUGCUCCUCACUUUGUUUUCUUCAUCCAACUCAAAUGAAUAAUAGAAUCCAGGGCUCUCUACUUGUUUCUUUUUGAACAUGCGAACUACUUCCAUCAUGUCAGUGUUUGUCACUUCUGUGUUGAUUGUGCCUGCAUAGUUCGUUACAUGUUUUUUUGUGUAUGGCAGCAAUGCCAAUCCUCCCCGGAGAUAUGCUAGGACUGCCACGAUUCUCCUUGUCUCUAGAUUUGUUCUUUUCAGAGUCCUGAUCAAGCAUUUUUCUUCAUCACACAUAUACUUGUGUGACCUGAAGAAUCUGCUGUUUGGUGUUAGCUCAUGGUUGUGAUCCAAGUUAACUCUUGUCACUUCCCAAGUUCCUUCUUUUUCUGAUAGUACCAGAACUAAUUUACAGUUCGUCUUUGCUAUUAUUGUACUUUUCCUGAUUGGAACUACACUUUCUGCCUCCACCUCUUUUGUUUUCCCAUGUUUGUUGCAUUUCAUGGUGAUUUGUGUUAUCUCAUUGUUCCUCUUCUUACUGCUAGUCCUCUUUACAGCGACUGUUGUGAUAGAGAAUCCGGCCACAUGUGAGUAGAAAUUAAAGAACUCCUGGCCUUCUUGCUUGCUCUUGAAUCUCAUUCCUACUGCGGGUUUUGUAACACUGUCGACAUUCCUUAAGUUUCCUUCCUUAUCUGAUGCUUCUUCAUUUUCUAAGAAGUUCUGAAUGUCAUCCUCAUUUAGGAAUUCUUCUUCUUGUCCUUGUCUUGAAUUGUGUGUGCCAUUCUGUUUCUCACUUGCUGGAGUGUCUUCUGAUUCUUUGCUGGGCAACUGUUGUUCUUCUCUUGCAAAUGUAGAUGGUUGUUGAUAGUUUUGCUCAUCAUUCACCUGCAACACAAUUUUAUAUAAGUAAACACAAUUUUAGAAACGUCAAUAGAAAAAUGUAGAUGGUUGAUUUUUGUUCUGUAAGUUUUUGGUAUAUACCUUAUCUAACUCCAUACUGUCAAAUAGACUGAUGUUCCAUGGAUUUUCUGCUCCCGCUCGAUUUGCCGGUGAUUCAUUUUGUUCCUGCAAGAAACCCACACACGUUUUUAUAUUUUUUUUGUGUAGAUAUAGUCGGUAGCAAGGUCAUUUGUACUUACUGAAUGGAUAUCUUCUCCUGCUUCUAGGGUGUUGAAUUUGUUGUCCAGGUCAGUUCUAUCGCAUUCCAUGCUAUUUGUCAUACUUUGAUACAUUUGUGCAUGUAGAAGCUCAGUGUAAGAAAAUGACCCACCAUGUAGAAGCUCUGUAUAAGAACAUGAUCCACUCUGCAUUCAUGAAAACAAGUUAGAGAAUGCAUGCUUUUGAUGUACUAAUUUCUUUUUUGCAGGCAUGUUUAUGCUAUUUUAAAAGCCUUACCUCAAGGAAAUCAAUUUCGUCGUGUUCAAGGUACAACGACCGUCCUUUGAUGUUUCUUCCUGUUCCAUUUGAUGCAUUCGUUGGCUCCUGCACUCAUUGUUAGUUUGUUUUUGUUUUUUGUAAUUUGCUAGAAUAUAGAAAAGCAUUUGUGUCCUUUUUUCCAUCUAACGUGGAUUUGUAGUGUUCUAUGUAGCUUGCUAAGCAAUUGUAGCAGUAGUAUAAUCAUGUUUUUGUUUGAGGCUGCUUCUGGAGUAAUUGAACAGAGAGACAGGGGAAUAUGUGUACUACAUAGUAGUGUUAUCCCUAAGUCUGAAUUUGUGUAGAAAAAGGUGGAUCCCGUUACUAAUUGGCUUCCCAUUAACUUCUGCAACAUCAAUUGUUUUUCUAGGGUUUCUACUAGUUCAUGUUUUUCAUUCCCAUAUGGGUAUUUUUUUCUGUUUCUAGAAGCAGCCUCUGCAUACGUUUGCUGUUGUUGUGCUCAUCAGAUCAUGUGAAUGAUCCUUGUAGAGAGAUCAUGUAUGGGUAGAGAUCUUGAGGGUUCAGGAAGGGUUGAAGAAUCAUGGGAAGGGUUGAAUCCAUAUGAGGGGGGAAGGGGGGCACGGGGGUGCUCACCUGUGUAUUCCAAAUCAUGGAGGGGGUGUCUUCUGUGGAGGUGAUUCUUCCUCCUUCAUGGCCCUGUUCCUCCUCCUCCAUGGAUCCCUCUUCCCUUCUUGGACGUGGGGGGGGGGGGAUGAGUGGUUUGGUGAGAUCUGUUUUGGUCCUGUUUUGUGGAUACCCCUUUUUAUUAGCUUUCUGCCCUCAUUUUUCCUUUCCAGCUAGGCUUUUCCCAUGUGAUGUGGUUGUUAGCUUUGGUAGUUUUGCCCUCAUCGACAGUAGCUGCUUUUGUUGACUGGAAAAAGUUGGAAGUGUGGUAGUGUUAUCAUUGUUGCUUAUUUUUUUUCCUGUGUGUGAAAUUCCACCAAUGUCCGGUCUCCUUUUCUUGUGUAAAUCUUUUUUUAUUUUUGUUGUAUUUCCGGUAAAUUUUUAGUGGAAUUAGUGUCAUGCAUGUUUUUUUGUCUGUGUGUUUUAUGUUUGCUAUUUUUUUUGUAGGCAUGCAGUACCGGGUGUGGACCCGUUAUAUGGACAGGGAGACAGGGGACAACAUGUCUUUAGCGACGCAGGACAGGGACAGAAUAGAGGACAAGUGUCAACCUGUAAUUGGAUACAUUUUUCGGAUGAAAGCUAAUUACAUUUCAUCCGGAUGUGAAAUAGACAGUCCCUAAUAAUAUAAGAGAGUUUUUACAGUCCCAUGUACUGCUGAUAGGGGAGGAGCAAUAUAUCAAAAUCCAACUACUCAUGUUUCGAGGGUAGGAUUGGCAUAGAUUUUUUGUCAUGGGAACCUUAGUGACGGUCGUCGGUUGAUGACCGGAAAUCAAGACGCCGAGCCCCGAUGUGACGUCCCACGACUCCUCCACGGUCUCCUUCGCUGUCUUUUGCUCUCCUGCUCCGGUAGCUAGACAAGUCGACCACGAGCUCUGCCUCGAGCUCGGCUUCUUCGUCACACCCGAGGACCACCGUCGGCAUCAGCGCGCUCCCUUGCCGUCUUCACUGCAUCUUCGGCCAUUUCGGCGCGUCCAUCGAGCCCGUGGUGAGGCGUUGCUCCUUUGCGCCUCCAUUCUCGUCGUUUUCGUCCACCGUAGCUUGGUCUCGCUCAAGCCGGCGCCCUGUCCACCAUAGGCGAGUCCCUGGAGCUCGUCCUGCACGCACACACCCAAUCACGCGUGAGCCCGUUCGUGAACCAUGCCCUCAGCAACAGCCGUUCGUGAACCAUGCCCUCAACAACAGCCGCAUCACAACGCGUGAGCCCGUUCGUGAACCAUGCCCUCAGCAACAGCCGCAUCACAACGCGUGAGCCCGUUCGUGAACCAUGCCCUCAGCNNNNNNNNNNNNNNNNNNNNNNNNNNNNNNNNNNNNNNNNNNNNNNNNNNNNNNNNNNNNNNNNNNNNNNNNNNNNNNNNNNNNNNNNNNNNNNNNNNNNCUUCUAAGAGAUCAGUCACAUUUGGCGGCUGUCACUACGCGUUUGCAGUGAGUUUUGUCAUAUUUUUUUUUGUUUUUUUAGUGUGCUUGAUUUUUUUUUCUUUUUCUCUUUUCAUGCUUCUGCUAGGUUUCAUAUCUUGACAAUGUGCAUUUUGGCCUUAAUGCACUCCCUGACAUAAAGCCUAGGAUUCUAGUUUGGAGAGAAAUAAAGUUAAGCACUUCUCAGACGUGGAUAAGUGCAAUAGUCGUUCUUAUGGUAAGAGGCCAUUGAAGCGUUUGUCCCCGUCUUUGUACGCUCCAGUAAGUUUUCUUUGUAUGUUUGCUUUUCAUUUUGUUCCAUUUUAUUGUUAGUUUUUGUUUUUAUGUUAGAUCUUUAUGUAUUUUCUCCUUUUGUUUUGGCUCAGAAGUCUUGUGAGAAGUUUUCAUGCUCAAGAGGUCGUGAUGCAGCUACAUCUAAAAUUCCUUUUGCAAACAAUACAACAACUUCAGAAGUUAAUGCUCCAGCUGGUUCAAAUGUGUCAUUUGCAUCUAAAGUUGAAUCAGCUUAUGCUUCUUGUCUCGGUAUUGAGGUUAGUGUUGUUUUGGUCUUUCUUGUAUUUUCUCUCUUAUUUGUUUAUUUAUUGUGUCUUGUUUUUAUUUGUGUUAUUUUUAUGCGCUAAUGAUUUUAGUUGUUUUUUCNNNNNNNNNNNNNNNNNNNNNNNNNNNNNNNNNNNNNNNNNNNNNNNNNNNNNNNNNNNNNNNNNNNNNNNNNNNNNNNNNNNNNNNNNNNNNNNNNNNNCAAAAAACAAAUUUAUCCACUGUCGCCGCGUACUAAUAGACCGCGGGCGUGCUCACCCACUCGCGGAUGACGCCGGUCCACCUGUACUCCUCCUGCGGCCCAGUGGGCGAGCACUUCCUCGUUGGCGAGGGCUCCGGCUUCGCCUUGGGCUCGACGGUGGGUUGCGACGGUGGUGGCACAUGUGGGACGAAGAGCUGGGCGUGGACGGAGUCCCUCGCAGUGGACAAGGCGAGGGCGUGCUCCAUCCCAUCCCGUCGGGCAUCCUCUUCGAUCCUCCUCGCCUCCAGCGCUGCUACAGGGCCAGCUCGAGGGUGGCUCGAUACGUCGUCUCUUCGUCGUCCUCCUCCGGUAGGACCUGGGCGGCGAAGGAGGGCCGGCUUGGUCCACAUGGACACCCCGACGACGCUACUCCUCGUGCUCUAGCGUGAACCAAUGCUCCUAGUUAGGGAAGCCUGGCGCAUACGUACACAUUGCCGGUUGCUCCGGAGUGAGGGCCCCGAGGUAGGUGCUCGCAUUUAAUAAGAUGCGGUAGGUGGUUGAGUGGCCGAGUAGUGGGCUCGCGGCGGACACGAAGGGGACGCUGGACGCGUCUGUUUCGUGUCCGCAAGGACGCGGAUCCGACCUGAAUUUGGGCCUGAAAUGGAUCGGCACAAACACGAAGCACACACGAAGCGGUAGAGCAAAGCGGUUGAGAAGAGCGUGGACCUUGACUAGGGUUUUGUCCGUGGUGGCAUAUUUGUUGGGACCGGGUGGGCCAGUGUGUGCUGAUCCGACAUGACGGAUGUGUCCGAGCGUGUCCAUUCCUACCCAUAUUCUCACCAUAUAUGGUUCCGGUUUCGAAGUGCCAGACAACCCACACGUAUUGGUCCGGUUUAAGGGGUUCGAUUGGGUCACGGAAAUGACCAGUCACCGACCGGAUGUAUAUGGACAGUUUGAGGCCUCCGACCCACACUAAAAAAUUCUCGAGUAAAGAGAGAACACUUGAAUUCUAGACUCUUGGUUUUGGUAUAAAUCACAAGAAAAUUCCACUCUCCAUCUAUCCAACAAUCCAAAUUCACACAAUGCCACAACAAGCAGAAUUUACUUAAUUGGAAAACUUACGAGGGUCAAAGAAUUAACCUCACAACAAAACUCACUAUAACAGAAAUUAAUAGACAAGUAUAAAGAAAAUAGAUCCAAAAUUACAAGGACAAAUAAUAAUGUGUGGUACGAGCCGUACAUUCAGACAAUAGGUCUUCUCCCAUUUGUGUUGCAGUUCAAGCCACACCCUCCACCGGUGAACCACACGGAGCUCACCGCACUUGCGGAUUGUUGGAGGCCCGAGACACACUCUUUGCACCUCCCCUAUGGAAAGAUGACGAUGAUCCUAGAGGACAUGACCAUGAUAAUCGGCCUUCCUAUCGACGGCCUCACUGUUACGGGUCAUGUCAACGCCGUUAACUCGCGAAUUUGGGUUGACGUUUUAAUUGGUGUUGAGCCCCUCCCUCCCGAGACAAGAAAGAUAGCUCAAAAGUGAAGCAUUCUAUAAUAAAUAUAUUCCCUGUGGAUGCCAAUGAGAUGGUUGUGCAGCACCGCGGUCGAGCCUAUCUUUGGUAUGUACUAACCAAGGUAGUCUUCUCAGAUUCGACCGGGAACUCGGCCCUGUGGAUGUUCUUGGAUCUACUCGGUGAUUGGGAUACUCAGUACAGGUGGGGUUCGACGACACUAGCAAAUUUGUAUCGUUAGGUAAUAGAUAUUUGGAGCCAUUUAUAUUUUUAUAAGAUGAUUAAUUUUGUGGGGUUUCUUAUGAAAUUAAAGAUGCAUUUGGAAAAUCAAAGUGCCUACCAACAUACAUGUCUUUCUUUGGUUGGCUUAUUAUAACAAAUGCUUGACUAGGGAUAACUUAGCAAAAAGAAGGCACCUUGAUGACCCAACAUGUGUGUUUUGCAGUGAGCAUGAGCCUAUUCAGCAUUUGUUCUUUGAAUGCAUUGUUGCUAAAGAAACGUGGGCUAUUAUUUCUAAGUUAUGUAGUAUUUCUGCACCCUGCUCUUUUAAUGAUUUAGCAAUUUGGUGGAAGCAGGAAAAAAGAAUGAGGUUGUUAAUAUUAUAUCAUGUGCUACCUUAUGGGGCUUUUGGCUGUUUUGAAAUGAAUUUAUCUUUCAUGGGAGGAGAUGACGAAACAUGCGUUGUAUAAUGGAUUUGGUGGGGGAUUUUUUCAAACAAUGGAAAGUGAUGUGUUCGGACGCCCAGGGUGCGCUUCUUCUCCAAUGUUUAAGGCUUCUGGGCCAUUGAAGAGGGGAGUUGCUUAGAAUCGCUUGGUGAACGUGUCGAGGCUGGCAGAGUGGAGGGUAGUUUUGGUGCUGUUUGUUGCAUAUUUCUAUGAUUCCUUUCUUUUGUCAUGUCAAUUGCUUUGUAAUAGGGCAUAAAACUAGCUGAACUCGUCCACUUGUUUCUGUGGUGGCCGCUCAGACUCCGCCGAGGACUGAUACUUUUGGCUAAUGCUUUGCCUUGGCUUUAAUAAAGUUGGGGCUGCGGGAGACCCUCCCUUUAAAAAAAACUUCACACCCUCAAAGAUGACCAAAUUUUUAGAUGCUUGCAAGUUUUCAUGUCAAAAAGCAUUCGCGGAGCUCUAUGCAUGAAAAACAUUUCGGUGCUUUAAGUUUUGAACACUUUUAGCACUGAAAUCUAAAACUUGUUUGUACACCUUUAUCUACAUGAGAUUUUGGCAUAAAACUUAUAUGAAUUACAAAGUUUAACCAUCUUUGAUGUUGCAAGGUUUCUGAUUUAAAAUUUUUUUACUAUUUUUGAUUUUAUUGUUCAUAGGGGAUGCCUAGACACCGGAAGCUGUUACACCUUUCUCGUGUAGAAAGGGGAGGCCUGCUGGAAGUUGUUGUAGAGGCCUACUCAUCAUCUGGUGUUAGGACCGCACAAGGACACGUCUUCUUGGCUGCCAAAGAUUUUGGCUUCAGUCAAAAGAAUUUAAUGUUGAUGAUGCUGAGCUAGACAUUACGUUGCUUGGUCCCUCCUCGUCAAAUACAGGUUUAGACUCUUGAGACACGUGAUGAUUUGAAACUUUCGAGUGUUUACCUGUAUAUAUGCCGGCGUGACGGGACCAAGCAAAGCUUUGACGAUGUGUGUCCGUUGUAUAUCUGGAAUGUCUGACUGUUUGCUCAUGUAUGGACUGUAACUCGGGUUGUGUGAUUCGAUUGUGAUUUUAAAGUUAGCCUUGUGUUUUGUUUAUAUUCAUUUCCUUGUUCCUUUCGCAAGGAAAAUGCAGAAAUGGUUUUACAUGACCAUUCAAACCAGACUGUGAAAGGCGAUGAAGCGAUGACACCCACCCGGUCAAGUGUUUUUUAAAAAAAAAGGAUUGGCCUCCGGCCUGUGCAUCAUGAUGAUGCAUGCACCCAUUCAUCGGGCUAAGUGUAGGUUGUCUUUUCCCAUAGCAGCAAAUGUUUGUUAAAUCCAAUCAUAUUCAGGAUAACGGAAAAGAUUAUCGGUGAACGAGCAAAUUAAACCGUUACCAAACUACUAUACUUUGUUCUGUGAUUAUCACUAUGACUACAAGUGUUUACAUUAUGCUUUAUUCAUGAUACAGUCCAAACUCAAACAUUGAAAUCCUUGGUGCUUCCUUGUUGGAUCAUUGCUUGGUUGCAUUCCGACAAAUUGAAAACUAAUCUCUGAAUCAACAAAUUAAACAAAACUUGAGAGCGACCUUAUGUUUCUUUCUUUUCUUAUUUUUACGGAAAAAUCUUAUAUUACUCAACUGCCUGGGUUACAAGCAGCAUGUCAUUGUUUUGUUGCCUCAUCAGGCCCUGAUCAUAACCAAACCUUAGUACGAUGUUCAGUCCUACCAUAAUUUGCCUUAACUUACAAGAUUUUGAGAGCACAGUACUACACGAGCAAUACAAGAAUCUCGGUCCAUCAUAAGUUGCUUGAUCUCCUAGACAAGGAAGCAACACCUUGAUCUGCCCAUCAUAUGUUUUCGACGAAUUAGUCAAUUUAAAAGCCAUGGCUCGUCCUAGAUGUACUAUAUAUGUUGUCCAGGUGAACGCGAGUCGCCGCGGCGCCCGUCUCCCAAGACAUGUCUUCUCCAUGUCUGACAAGCUCAUUGGUUGGCUAUGAAGGUGAUGUUUCCCAAGACAUGUCUUCCCCAUGUCCGACAAGAUCACCGGCCGACCGUGAGGCCCGAAAACUAAGGCUUUAGGGGGGGGGGAGUAGUGGCCUUCCUGGUACCCAAACCGCGAUGACUUCCCAUGCGCCACGUCCUCAUCUGAGUCUGUUAUGUCGAGAACGUGUAAGUGCCGACCUUGUCUUGGCGGCAUGGCAUCACGGCUUGGGUCACGAUGUUGGCGAUGUCUGCAUUCUCCCGUGCCCCCUCUUCCUCAUUCGCCGCAUCGAUAACCACAAACAAGGUGUGUCUCUCUCCGUAUGUAUGACAUGCAACCGCCGUUGCAAUCCAACGAGGAGUAGGAUGAAUUGACAAGAAGUUUUCAAUAAGAUUUCACAAUAAAAACUAUAUUGAUAAUUUUAUGGGUUGUUUAGUGAACCAAAUCCUUAAGUAUGCUAAGGACAAGCCGAUUGUGUUUGUUAUAGUGCUUAAAACCCUUUUGAGGACACAUGAGAUUUUUUUGAAUUAUUUCACCAAGAACCACUGAGUUACCGUUCAUUGUUCUGAUAAGUGUUGUGUAUGUAGACCUAGGCUAUGAAUUAUCCUUACUUGGACAAAUACCUAAUUAUGAGUAUACCCUUCAUGCAAGCAUUCACAAAUAUAAGAGAAGUAACUAAGAUAAAUCGAACCAUAGCAUUGAACUUAACAAGAGAGAUAAAUGUAACCAUAUUAGUUAAGACAAAUCUUAUCAUAACAUAAUAUCAAAACAGCAAAUGAUAUUUAAUUUUACAUGAUUAAUAGCAACAGGACUUCUUCCAUGUCCCCCAAUAACUAAAGGAUCUACUCACAAGCCAUCAAAUGGAUCAUGAUGAGUGGUAUGAAUAGAUGGUAAAAAAUCUGAACAUAACAAUCUUUUACCAAUAAAACUCCUAAGGAUCAACUACAAGGUGAAAUUAACACAUAAAAGUACCCUCAACAAACAGAUUUGAGGUUAUGUACAUAGAUAAAAUAGAGGGAUGAACUAGGGUUGGGGAUCAGAUGAUGUUGGUAAAGAUAUUGAUGAAGAUGAUGGUUCGAUGAUGAACGAAGUGUUAGUGAUGACGGUGGCUUCGAUUUCCCCACACCGGACAAAAGUUUCCUCGAUAGAAUCGCUCCAACGGAGAACAAGUUCUCUACCUCAUAGAUAGUAGCGAAAAGGUCUGAUUAUUUUCUAUGUUUGUUUAGGGCGAAUGGGAUUUUAUGGCCAAAGGGCAUCAGAAAAGAAGUCAUGAGGCCACCAGAUGGGCCCACCCGUGUGCCCAGGUCGUCUGGUGCCCCUGUGGCACCCCACCUUCGGUCAUUGGUCUUCAUAUUUUUCAGGCGUGUCGGUAGCAUGGGUAGUCGGAAUGGUGAGAUCUGGCUGGCUGCGUCCGUGUGCUCACGCGAAUGUAAGAGACAUGUGUGGCACCGAUGGAUCGUUGCUUCCCCUUCCUUCUUGAGAUGUACUGUACGUCCGUAGGCAUAGAUUAUUUGUAUUCAUAAUAAUAAUACGGGGUCGCUAAUUUUCAGUCGGAUGUUUUUGUUCGCGUUCAUCCGUUUCUGGGCCGUCCGAUCUGUUGCUUGAAGAUUCAUGUUUUUCUUUUUCUUUUCGCCGCUGUGUGUUUUCUUAUCGGACCCGUUCAAAUUUUCAGUCCAACCCAUUAUUUUUCCCUCACUAGCCCGCGUCGGUCGCUUUGGCUGUCUCGUCCCUUCCAGUCGGUGUCGUUUCCUUGUUGCCAUUUCUUCCACGCAUCUCCAGAACAAAGCUUGAGAGAGAUAGCCAUGGCGAUUUGGAUCUGGAUCUCUUCGUUCGGCCUAGGUGGUUGGUAUUGACUCGUCUGCGCUCUCCGUCCCGCUCGCCCGCCGGCUCCGCUCCUCUGUUGUCCUCCUUGUUUGCUGGAUACGGGAUCUCGGCCUACGCACCAUCCUCAGCCCCGUUUUUCCCCUCCCACCGAUUUGUUCUUCUUAUCUGGUAUUUUCCCUUUAUUUUCUGUUAGUCCCCGCAGAUCUGAGUGGUAGGUCGUAUGGUUUUGUUAGUUUGUUGUUGUUGAUGUGUGUAUUUUCUCUAUAUGCGUUCUCGUUUGCCAUGGCGGAUUUCGGUGCGGAUUUUCUCGUUUGCCAUGGCAGAUUUCGGCGUUGUUUUGGCCUGUGGUAGGAGUAGAUAGUCAGAGUUCCUAGGUCCGGUAGUCCCAGUCCAUUCCAAGGCGAGGUGACUGUAAUAGGGCUUCACGAUGGGGAUUUAUUGUUACUCUGUCAUUAGAUUGGUUUGUCUAGUUGUAGCAGUAUGGGUUAGUGAUCUAUCCUUGUGGUGUGCAUGUAGGUUUCUCUUAUUUGUGCGUGUUGGGUUCUCCUAGGGCUGUGCCUGAUCUGAUUCUGUCUGUAUGUUGUGGAUUCACGGAUGGAUGUGGUCUGGUUCUGUUUCCUGUUCAAGUCUCCAAGUUCUUUUGUGGUCUGUAAAUCUGAUUAGUGUUUUUUUAUGUUUAGUGUAUUUUUGCUGUCAUGUGCUAUCCACAGCGUACAUCCUUGUGCCAUCAAUGUAGCUAUGUGAUAUUUGCUAGGAUUUAGACUGUAUCUCGUAGUCGAUUUGUUGUGUAUCUCCUUGUUGAUUUUUCUCUGUAUGUUUGCUAUAGUUAUGUAGUGUAUUUUUCGCUGUUUAGUGGAUUUAUGCUGUCUUGUGCUAUUUGCUAUCAUUGUAGCUAUGUGGCUUUUGCUAGGAUUUAGACUGUAACUCCUAGUCUAUAUUCACUGUAUCUUACUCUGUAUUUUUGCUAUGGAUUUGUAGUGUAUAUUUCUCAUGGACUUUGCACUGUAUUCUAGUGUCAUUCACUUUGGAUUUACACUGUAAAUUUCACUCUCUUCUCAAUGUAAUUCCGUGUCUAUUUACACUGUCAUUUCGCGAUGUAUUUACAUUGUACUUUCUAUUGGAUUUGCAGUGUAUCUUAGGGAUUUUGUUCUGUAAUUUUAGUGUUAUUCACUAUGGAUUUACACCGUAAAUCUCAUUUGAUUUACACUGUAAUUCUUAGUGUUUUUCACUGUAAUUUUGCGAUGGAUUUGCACUGUAAUUUCUAGUGGAUUUGCGGUGUAUCUCAGAGAUUUCACACUGUAAUUUUAGUGCCAUUCACUAUGGAUUUACACUGUAAAUCUCACUCGAUUUAGAUUGUAAUUCCUAUUGUUUUUACAUUGUCGCUCACUAUGGAUUUACACUGUAAACGUCACUCGAUUUUACACUGUAAUCUCUAGUGUUUUUCACCGUAUUUCACUAUUGUAAUACACUGUAAUUGCAACUUGAUUUUACACUGUAUUUGUUCCUAGUGGUUUUAGACUGUCCAUUUAGUAUAUUGCUCCAAGCUGCCCAGCUGGUCCUUGUCGCAAAUGAGUAGCAGAACGAGCGUCUUCAUCCUGUAAGUCAUAUUUAGUGGUCUGUACUAGCAGCCUUUAUUUAUAGUUGUUACCCCUCUGGUGUUUUGAUGUAUCAUGGUCAGCAAACAAACCUAGAGUUGAGUGUCUUCUCGUUUGGUUGUUGUAUGUUGUUUAUAGUUAGUGUUAUUCCCGCGUAUAUCAAGUGCUAUUAGGUGUUAUUUGCUGGAGGUAGCUAGUUUUUGUAGUGUUUUGUGUUUUUGAUGUUAAGGGGUGCUAAGUGCUCUUUCUUUGUAUUUUAGUAGUUUAUGUUCUUAUAAUUUCUUUGGGCUUUUACUGUAAUUUUUGUAGGUUAUUGCAGUGUAAUUCUUAGUGUAUUUUGCUGAAUUUCCAGUAUGAUUUUACAGUGCAAAUCCAGUUCCACUGAUAUCGUAAGUGGUUUUUAUAUUUGUAGCUGUUCUAAGUAAAUCUGAGUUGGUUUCCACUGUAUAUUUGUGUUUUUGUAUUACAUUCUCAGCAGUUAGCAUGACCAUCCUUGUUACUACUUGAUCUAGCAGCACUGCAAUGCUUCUAUUAGUGAUCACAACCACACUGCCAUGCUUCUACUUGUAUCGAAAAAUUUGUGUUGUCAUGCUUGUUGAUUUUUUGUGCAGGGUGUUUCAUAUUCCUGAUGUAGUGUUAUUAUUUUGUCAUGCUUGUUGAUUUUGUAGUGUUAUUAUUUUGGUAGUUCUUCAAUAGAGAUGCAAUUUAUUUUGUAAUUUAUUUUCAUCAGGAUCAUCAUUAAUUUUUGUGUAAUCCAAUGUUUAUUCUUGUGUAUAAGAUAUUUGUAGAUAAUCAGAUAUCUUCUGUAUUAUCUGAUAUUUUUGUGUAAUGUUUAUUCUUCUUGCCUUACUUAUCGUUAUGUUUUAUUUUAUGCUACUUUAAAUAUUUAGGAAAUAGUCAAAUAUAUGGGUAGACUCAGGAAGUGUUUCGGUAAGGGCAUUCCUGUUGGUUGUUCGGAAGAGGCUGGUGAUUCCGAUGCGGCCCCGUUUGUGCCAAAUGACUUUGCUGAGGACGAUGAUUACCCAUUUUCAGAGGUAUGUUUUGUUUUUUGUUUGUGUUUAUCCUCUUUUCGUUUUUAUGUAUUGCUUUUAUGGGUUGCUCUAUUUUUGUCCCAGUUCUUUAUUCUCUCUGUUUUCUUUUUGUGUUUAUGCAGGAUGGCGAUAUGGAUGAUGCUGAGUUUGAUAAAGCUUUGUAUGAUUUGUAUGUGACCCAUGUAUGUAGUUUGUUGUAUUUAUGUUUUUUAUCCAAUCUAUUUUUCCAGAUUGAUUUUUGUAGAAUUAACUUUUUUCUGUCUUUAUUGCAGAAAGUUAAUCGUUUAAAACGGAAGCUUUCAUGUGCAACAGCUCGUAAUGUGGUAUUGUAGUUUUGUUUCUCUUUUCCCUUUCUGUAUCUUUUGUUGUUUUUGCUAGUUUUUUUCUUAUUUCUGUUUUUUAUGUUUUCUAUUUUUGUAGAAAUUUAAGAGAUCAUCAGAUUUUCCUUCAGCAUCCACCUUCACUAGAUAUUCUGGCAAGCUUUUUCUUCCUGCAUUGCUGGCUUGUCUCCUAGGCAAGUAAGUGUAAUUCAGAGUUAUGGGGCUGAUUGCCUUCUCAAGUUUGUGAGGACUGAGGUCCCUCUCAAAUUUGUCAAAUGGCUUGCUUCUAAGUUUGAUGUCCAUGCUUCUGAGAUUCAAGUUAGGAAAAGUUUAUUCCUGUUACCAAAUAUGUUAUUCACGACAUCUUAGAUCUUCCUGUGGACGGUGAGCCCAUUUUUUCCGAUGCCGAAGCUGGUCGUGAGUUUAUUUUGUCUCACUUCAAUGUCACUAGUAUCCCACCAGUUUCAUUCUUCGCAAAUAAACUUAAGUCAACGACUGAAGAAAUGACAGAUGAAGACAUUUUCACCUGCUUCAUGUGUGUUGCUUUCUCCACUUUCUUGUGUCCAAAUUCAAGCCUGUCUCCCAGCCCAAAAUACCUCCACAUAUUCAGAGAUUGUAGUUCUGUCAUGAGCUAUGACUUAUCUAGGUUUGUCUAUGAGUGUCUCCUUACCAGUAUUAAGAAGUUCAAGGACUCUACAAAGGUUGCUUCUAAGAGAUCAGUCACAUUUGGCGGCUGUCACUACGCGUUUGCAGUGAGUUUUGUCAUAUUUUUUGUUUUUUAGUGUGCUUGAUUUUUUUCUUUUUUUCUUUUUCUCUUUUCAUGCUUCUGCUAGGUUUCAUAUCUUGACAAUGUGCAUUUUGGCCUUAAUGCACUCCCUGACAUAAAGCCUAGGAUUCUAGUUUGGAGAGAAAUAAAGUUAAGCACUUCUCAGACGUGGAUAAGUGCAAUAGUCGUUCUUAUGGUAAGAGGCCAUUGAAGCGUUUGUCCCCGUCUUUGUACGCUCCAGUAAGUUUUCUUUGUAUGUUUGCUUUUCAUUUUGUUCCAUUUUAUUGUUAGUUUUGUUUUUAUGUUAGAUCUUUAUGUAUUUUCUCCUUUUGUUUUGGCUCAGAAGUCUUGUGAGAAGUUUUCAUGCUCAAGAGGUCGUGAUGCAGCUACAUCUAAAAUUCCUUUUGCAAACAAUACAACAACUUCAGAAGUUAAUGCUCCAGCUGGUUCAAAUGUGUCAUUUGCAUCUAAAGUUGAAUCAGCUUAUGCUUCUUGUCUCGGUAUUGAGGUUAGUGUUGUUUUGGUCUUUCUUGUAUUUUCUCUCUUAUUUGUUUAUUUAUUGUGUCUUGUUUUAUUUGUGUUAUUUUUAUGCGCUAAUGAUUUUAGUUGUUUUUUCUUUUUGUAGGUUGUGAAGCAGAUCAUUGACCUUGUUCAGAAAUCUAAUGCUGAUAAGCUAAUAAAUUUUCAAGAUUGGUUGGAGUCGCUUGUGCUUAAUGUACUUGGUUUGAUUGGGGAUUCUAAAUUUAAAUCCCCUGUUCGUUCAUGUGCUGAAUAUCCUCUUGGUAGUAAAGCAGAUUCUCCUACUUCUAAAAACAGUGGCUCUGAUGAUUUGCCAGGUCGGUUUUAUUUUUUUGUUGUUGGUUUUUGUGUGUAGCUUUUUGGCAUUUUUGUUCUUUUCUACUAGUUUGAUGGCAUUUUUUGGUUUACCUAUGUAGGUUGCAAGUCUGUUCCUAUUCAAUCUACCAAAAAGCUUCAAAUGACCCAUCAGUUAGCAAACUUGCCAGAAUUGUUAUGUCCGACGAUUGUGCAAAGACAAAUCUAAGUAUUCCUCCUUUGGGUACCUUUGCUGCUCCUCCUAGUAUUGUUCCUCCUGCUCCUGUUUCUGUUCCUGUUUCUGGAGGUAUUUUCCUUUUCUGUCAAUUAUGCUAUGUUGUCCUUGUUAGUUCUGUAUUUUAUUUCUUCUUCCGGUAACCUUUUAUUGAUUUUCAUUGUUAGGUUCUUCUCCUACAACCUCAUUGUUUGCCAUGCCUGUUGCAAUGCGCACUAGUAUUCCUUCAGGUUGUUUUUUCUGUUUUUCUCUCAUAUUAGUUGCGUAGUUGUAUUAUUUUCUUGUUUCUUUUUUUUAUGUUCUCAAGUGAUUUUGUUCAUUUGUUGUGCUUGUUUUCCAGGUAGCUCUUUGAAAAGGUGCAAGCCUAAUGUUGGCUUGAUUUCUAAUGUUAGACCUUCCAUGCAUCGCUUCAAGUCUGAUUGUGCAUCAAAGGAUGACCAUUGUGUCAAGAAGGCAGAUCAGAUCUUUCGUUCAGCUGGUGUAGAUUUUGAAUUUCAUCCAGAUACAAGAAACCACUCACCUCUUCUUCCAGUCAGGCUAUCCCAACGAUUUAUUGAUGAUGUUGGUUUUCUUGUUUCUUUUGUAUUCUUUUGUUUCUAGUGCAUUUCUGUUCUUGUUAUGUUAACUGUUAUGUUCUAUUCAUUUCAUGUUGCAUACAGAUCGACAGAGUUCAGUGUUCGCAAUAUGUGUCUGAAAGAAUUAGGAACUCUCCCAAGACUCCUUUUGAACAUGUUAUUUUAUGUGCUUCUUGCUUUUAGUUUCUUUUGCAAUUCAUUGUAUGUUUUUUGUCUUUGUUAUAUGUCUUUAGUUAUUUUAUUAGUUUUAUUUUGUCAGGACGGUGUGCUUAUGGUAGCACUUCCUCCUUCCAACAAUUCAAACCCAGUUCAAUCAUCAAAUAAAAUCAUGUUGACCUCACCUCUCCAGAAGCAUUAAAUGAGUUCUUCAAUGGGAGAGAUGAUGUAAUUGUACUUGUUCUGUAUUUUCAUUGUUAUUUUCUUUUUCUUUUGUUCUUAUUUGGUGUUUUGUUCCCUAUUUGUUUUCCUGCAGGUAGUUGGUAUUGAUGAAGUUCAAAUAGUUGGCACCUCCAUAUUUUCUGAUCGGUGUGUUAAUUUCACAAAGAAGACGAAUGAAGCUUAUAACCAGCUCAACAAAUUAGCAUCGUCUUCUUCCUUCUCUCUGGUUUGUUUUGUUUCUUCUGUGUAUCUCCCUUCAUUUUCUUUGUUCAAGUUUUGUUGUUGUAUGUUAUCAAUGUUUUUAGUGUAUUAGUUUAGUUAUUAUAAUUUCAUUAUCUCUUCAGUGUAAUUAUUGUGUAGUUGCUAGUGUUAUUAUUAUAAGUGUUUCUUGAGAAUCCAAUUUUUUUGUAGGGUGCUGUAAAUAGCCCUGAAGUCCUUAUCAUCUCUGAUCCUGAUUGUGUUGCAAAGUUAAAGGCAGCCCAUCAGCAUAAUAUAUCAAUCACUUCUAAAGUUUCUGAUUGUUCAACAUCAACAAUUCAGCAUGUCCCUCGAAGGAUUGUUGGAGCAGCUAGAUUCAAUUUAGAUCCUUAUGUUCAGCAGAUGAAUCGUUUUCCUGUCGCUUUGCAAGAAAGGAAGCAUUAUUUUGCAAUGAACCGGAUUGGCAAAGAUGACGUUUUGUGCAAGUAUGAUAUUUCUUUUUUUUCUUGUACCUUUUCUUAGUUCUGUUCGUGAUUUGUGUAUUUACUUUUGUUUCCUUUGUGAUUGAUUGUUUCUUUAUUUCUUUCUACCAGAUAUGAUAGAGCAUUCUGUUCAUACCGCUCACUUGCUUCCCUCUGCCCUAAUGGCCACAUAGAUAACUUCUUGCUUCUAUGUUUCCGUCGAUAUCUUUUCAACAAGUGUCAUCCUUCUAAAUCGAAGAAACAUUUCUUCUUCAGUUAUGUUGGGGUAUGCUAGCUUGUAUUCCUUUUCAUUUUCUAUAUGUAUUUCUUUGUUCUUUUCUAUAUGUAUUGUAUUGUUUUUUCUUUUCUUAUCGGUGUGACAAAGUAGUUAUCUGAAUUGGUGCAGGAGAGCAUAUUGAAUAACAAUAAUCCAGACACAAGGAAUCCAACAAUUGUUCAUAACGCUUUUGAGGGAGCUUGCAGUGCUUAUCUGCUAUGGAGAUCGAACUUUGUAAGUGCAAGUUAUAUCUUUUGUUAUCUCUUGUUUGUGUUCAUGCUUUUUGCUCAUUGUUUUGUUAUCUCUUGUUUGUGUUCAUGCUUUUUGCUCAUUGUUAUAUCUUUUGUUAUCUCUUGUUUGUUAUCUCUUGUUUGUUUGUGUUCAUGAAUAACAAUAAUCUGUCUCAUUGUUUUUUGCUUUUUAUCUUUUUUAUUUCAGUUGUACUUCCCUAUUGGUCUAGAAAACACUGGUUCUCGUUUGUUGUUUGUUUGAGAGAUAAAGCUUUUGUGUUUUUGAUUCGGCAUAUGGAGAGAACUCAAUGUAUCACAAAGCUAUCCGCAAUGAGAUGGUAAUUUUCUUCAACCUUUGUCUCUUAAUAUACUGUAACUCUACUGUAAUAGUAAUGUAAUUCUUGUAUUUUUGUUCCUUCGCUGUAGAUCUACUAUAAUAGUACUGUAAUUCUUGUAAUGAGGAUCUACUGUAAUAGUACUUUAUCUUUUUGUUAGUGCUUUAGUUGUGUAAUUGUUGUUGUUUUAGUGUUAGUUUCAUUGGGUUCAGUAUGCACAUAGUAUUUUGUGAGUGGUUUUGUUAGUGGGUGCUCACUGUAUUUUUUGUACUUGUUUUACUGUGUAAAUCUAGGUAGUUUUUACUGUGUAAUUUUUUGUUUAAGUCUAUCUGGAUUUACACUAUAAGUGUUAGUAAUUGUAGUAGAUCAUCACUGUAUUUUUGAUAGUUGUUUUAAUGUGUAAAUCCAGGUUGUAUUUUACCGUGUAAUUUUCUGUUUUAAGCCUUCCUGGAUUAACACUGUAAGUCUUUAGUAGAUGCUCACUGUAUUUUUGUUAGUUGUAUUACUUUGUGAUUCUAGUUGUGUUUUACACUGUAAUUCUUGGUAUUUUACACUGUAAGUCUUAGUAGGUGCUCACUGUAUUUUUGUUAGUUGUUUUACUGUGUAAUUCUAGUUGUGUUUACACUGUAAUUAUUGGUAUUUACACUGUAAGUCUUUAGUAGAUGCUCACUGUAAUUUUUGUUAGAUGUUUUACUCUGUAAUUCUUGUUGUGUUUACACUGUAAUUCUUGGUAUUUACACUGUAAGUCUUAGUAGAUGCUCACUGUAAUUUUAUUACAUGUUUUACUGUGUAAUUCUUGGUGGAUUCUCGCUAUAAGUUUUAUUAGUUUUUUCCAUUUUAAACUGCAAGUUUGUUUUCUGCAGUUAUUUGGUUUUGGUAUGUUUUCCUCAUUUUUAGUUCCACCACAGGUUAAUAAUUUCACUAGUCUUUGGCAUGAGUUUGUCACUCCUAUGAUGAAUAGAAGGAUUGCUUUCGAAUCCUUUGAUGUGCUAUAUCGAGCUGUUCCUACGCAAGAUAAUUGGUAUUUUUUAUUUUGCUUUUAAUGUUUGUUUUCUAUAUAGGAUUUAUGAUAGCUACGCUUCUAUUUCUUAUUUGUUUUUUCUUUUCAGCGAUGACUGUGGUGUCUUCACAUUCAAGUUUAUGGAGAUAUUCACACCAAGAACCCAAAUGGCAAACCUUUUCUCUAGUGCAGACAUUUUAAAUCUUAGGAUCAGAUAUGCAAAUGAGAUGUUCUUCAGCCCCUUGAAGAGCUGUGACAAAUCUUUUGUGACUGAUUUCUUUCUUCAUGUAUGUUUUAUUUCCUUGUCAUGUAUUGUUUUUUGUCUCCUCAUUUUACUUUUACUUUUCUUUUACUAAUUUGGCUUUCUUUGAAUUUUUGUAGGAAGACAAUGCCAACUGAUGUUUAGGACACGUGUAGUCAUAGCUGGAAGACAAUGCCAACUGAGGUUUAGGACACGUGUAGUCAUAGCUGGAGUGGUGGCUGGGUUUUUUUCAUUAGCAUGUUGUUUGAAGAAAAGUUAUCAUGCAUUUGUUGUGGAUAGUAGUGUUAUGUUUUUAGUAGUGAUAGUAUGUUCCAUUUUGAUUGUAAGCUGGGUUUUUUUGCGAUGUCUAUGUUGGUGUUGCUCGACGGUACUUAUUUUCAGGACACUAGUAGUAUGCUUUUUAUCUUGCUUAUUGAUCUUAAUGAUCUAUACUUAUUUUCAGGACACUAGUAGUAUGCUUUUUAUCUUGCUUAUUGAUCUUAAUAAUAUGUUCGAGGUGUUACUUUUUUCUUAAUGAUCUUUGUUUCUUGUAUCUCACCCUAUCCUUCUCCACAUUUUGUUGUGUUUUUUAUUUAUUUUUGUGCAGGUUAAGCUACUAAUUUUUGACGGUCUACUGAUGAUUUCUCAAACUCUGUAUCAGAGGUUAGUUUUGUUUUCUGUACCUUGCCAUUUUACCAUUUUUAUAUAUUGGGGUUUAUGUCUUGCUUUCAGUUCACUACAUUGUUCUCUAGGAUAAAUUGUUUAAGAAACUCUUCAGACAUUAAAAUUAGAAAGAUACUCAAGCAUGUAGUAAUUAACAUUUUAUCAGUUCUUACAAAAACUUCUCCACAACUGAAAAGUUCGUUACAUAGGCAGUACCCAAUCUCAUACAAAAGUAGUUAUGCCCAUAUAUAUCAGUUCUUUUUCGCUUGUGUUUGUACCAGUAGCUUCUUGCCCCUAGGUGUCUCUGUCUUCCAAAUGGUCAUCUCUAGCUAUAGGAUUUUGUCCCUAUUGCUGGAACGGUUCAUCGAGCAUCCCUGAUCUUCCUCCAGUUACUUUCUCUUCUCCAGUCAUCUGCUUCUUCUGUGUCUUCUGUCCUGCAAUUUUUGUAUGUUCAAAGAGUUAGGUUGUAAUCUGAUAUUUUCUUAGUUUGUGUUUUUUCUUAAUAGUGUAUAUUUCAUCACCUUUCUUUACAUUCCUUGGGUUUGACUGUUUUGCUCUCCUUCUCUUUUGUAGAUUGUACUCUUUAUCCAAGUUCGUACAAUUCUUUAUUGUGUGCCUGUCAGAAUGAAAAUGGUUGCAUUUGUAGAACUUGUUCUGCUUGAUAGCUUCUCUGAUACUUAGCAUCCUAGGGCGUCCUUUUGUAGCAGAAACAUCAGGGUCUUGUAUGUUCAUCUUGGAUGUAGUCUCUUCUGCUUCUAUGUUUGUUGCUACAACUGUCACUGUUCUAGUAGAUCCACUCUGGACAUUCAUGUCACUUUCUGAUUCUUCAUCCAUCUCCUCCAACCUCUUUUGUAUCCUAUCUAUUUCUCUUAGGAAGUACUCGUAUUUUCUUUCUUCUUUGAUGCAUUCGAUGAGACAUAUACUAGUUUUCUCUGCAGAACAUUGUACCUUAGUGUCGAGUUCUCAGCCACAAUUGGAGGUGGAUCAGUUGAAUGUAUCUUUUGGUCACUUUUCCUCCACCUGUCAAUUAUAUACUUCUCUGGUAUCUUUUCCCUAUUCAAAUGGAGCAUCACUUUCAGUAUGUGUGAGCAGAGUAACCCAUCUUUCUGGAAUCCACAACAUAUGCAUGAGUAUUCUUCAUAGUUCAAGUCCAUUUGCACUAGGUAUUGUCUUUUCCGACGCUCUUUCAAAGGAUAGUUCUCAGCUUGGUACACAAGAUAGCUCCUGUCCUUCUCAUGCUCUGUUAUAUGUAGCCUUGUUGUGUCUUCCAUUUUUUCUGGAACUUCCUGAAUAUGCCUAUGUUGUAUAGUUCAUGCACUUGUGUUUCAAUGCCAUACUUAGACCAAAAUUUCUUCAGUGCAACCUUCUUGUUCCUUGAUAAAUGAUCACACUCUUGUUCCCUGUCUUGGAUGACAUCUAUUAUCCUGUCAUACUCUCUUAGGAAACUUGUAACACUGAAUUUUGCCCCAACUCCUUUCUUGAACAAUGAAUUUGUUCCUUCGCUCCUCGCGUGGUUUGAAUGAAAGGAAAGAACUUGUCUCUGAAGUACACAUGAACAAACUUUUGUCUUGCUUCCCACAUAUCAUUGAAGUACUUGAUAUGUUGAACUUCAUAUUUAGCUAUCAUCUCUGUCCAGUUUGUUUCGAACUCUUCAAUUGUGAGUGAGUUGUCUAUAAUGUCCUGGAAGUCCUCAUACAACCCUUCAUUAGCUUGGAAACAAGGUCCUGCCUUCUCCUCUGAUUUCUUCUUUAUGUGGAACAAGCAAACUCUGUGUAUUGCUUUUGUAAAUACAUUUCUGAUUGCUGCAUCCAUUGCUUUGUCUUGAUCAGUGAUUAUAGAUAUAGGAUGUUUUCCUCCCAUUGCUGUUAAGAAUUGGUUGAAUAGCCAAGUGAAGGUGUUUGCUUUCUCAUCCACUAUGAAUGCGCAAGCAAAUAGAUAGGUGUUUCCAUGUGGUGACACUCCAACAAAUGGUGCGAAGGGCAGAUUGUACUUGUUUGUUAGGAAAGUAGUGUCGAAACUGAUGCAGUCUCCACAUAUGUCGUACAUUAGCCUUGACUUUGCAUCAGCCCAGAAGAUGCUCCUCACUUUGUUUCUUCAUCCAACUCAAAUGAAUAAUAGAAUCCAGGGCUCUCUACUUGUUUCUUUUGAACAUGCGAACUACUUCCAUCAUGUCAGUGUUUGUCACUUCUGUGUUGAUUGUGCCUGCAUAGUUCGUUACAUGUUUUUUGUGUAUGGCAGCAAUGCCAAUCCUCCCCGGAGAUAUGCUAGGACUGCCACGAUUCUCCUUGUCUCUAGAUUUGUUCUUUUCAGAGUCCUGAUCAAGCAUUUUCUUCAUCACACAUAUACUUGUGUGACCUGAAGAAUCUGCUGUUUGGUGUUAGCUCAUGGUUGUGAUCCAAGUUAACUCUUGUCACUUCCCAAGUUCCUUCUUUUUCUGAUAGUACCAGAACUAAUUUACAGUUCGUCUUUGCUAUUAUUGUACUUUUCCUGAUUGGAACUACACUUUCUGCCUCCACCUCUUUUGUUUUCCCAUGUUUGUUGCAUUUCAUGGUGAUUUGUGUUAUCUCAUUGUUCCUCUUCUUACUGCUAGUCCUCUUUACAGCGACUGUUGUGAUAGAGAAUCCGGCCACAUGUGAGUAGAAAUUAAAGAACUCCUGGCCUUCUUGCUUGCUCUUGAAUCUCAUUCCUACUGCGGGUUUUGUAACACUGUCGACAUUCCUUAAGUUUCCUUCCUUAUCUGAUGCUUCUUCAUUUUCUAAGAAGUUCUGAAUGUCAUCCUCAUUUAGGAAUUCUUCUUCUUGUCCUUGUCUUGAAUUGUGUGUGCCAUUCUGUUUCUCACUUGCUGGAGUGUCUUCUGAUUCUUUGCUGGGCAACUGUUGUUCUUCUCUUGCAAAUGUAGAUGGUUGUUGAUAGUUUUGCUCAUCAUUCACCUGCAACACAAUUUUAUAUAAGUAAACACAAUUUUAGAAACGUCAAUAGAAAAAUGUAGAUGGUUGAUUUUGUUCUGUAAGUUUUGGUAUAUACCUUAUCUAACUCCAUACUGUCAAAUAGACUGAUGUUCCAUGGAUUUUCUGCUCCCGCUCGAUUUGCCGGUGAUUCAUUUUGUUCCUGCAAGAAACCCACACACGUUUUUAUAUUUUUUUGUGUAGAUAUAGUCGGUAGCAAGGUCAUUUGUACUUACUGAAUGGAUAUCUUCUCCUGCUUCUAGGGUGUUGAAUUUGUUGUCCAGGUCAGUUCUAUCGCAUUCCAUGCUAUUUGUCAUACUUUGAUACAUUUGUGCAUGUAGAAGCUCAGUGUAAGAAAAUGACCCACCAUGUAGAAGCUCUGUAUAAGAACAUGAUCCACUCUGCAUUCAUGAAAACAAGUUAGAGAAUGCAUGCUUUUGAUGUACUAAUUUCUUUUUGCAGGCAUGUUUAUGCUAUUUUAAAAGCCUUACCUCAAGGAAAUCAAUUUCGUCGUGUUCAAGGUACAACGACCGUCCUUUGAUGUUUCUUCCUGUUCCAUUUGAUGCAUUCGUUGGCUCCUGCACUCAUUGUUAGUUUGUUUUGUUUUUGUAAUUUGCUAGAAUAUAGAAAAGCAUUUGUGUCCUUUUUUCCAUCUAACGUGGAUUUGUAGUGUUCUAUGUAGCUUGCUAAGCAAUUGUAGCAGUAGUAUAAUCAUGUUUUGUUUGAGGCUGCUUCUGGAGUAAUUGAACAGAGAGACAGGGGAAUAUGUGUACUACAUAGUAGUGUUAUCCCUAAGUCUGAAUUUGUGUAGAAAAAGGUGGAUCCCGUUACUAAUUGGCUUCCCAUUAACUUCUGCAACAUCAAUUGUUUUCUAGGGUUUCUACUAGUUCAUGUUUUCAUUCCCAUAUGGGUAUUUUUUCUGUUUCUAGAAGCAGCCUCUGCAUACGUUUGCUGUUGUUGUGCUCAUCAGAUCAUGUGAAUGAUCCUUGUAGAGAGAUCAUGUAUGGGUAGAGAUCUUGAGGGUUCAGGAAGGGUUGAAGAAUCAUGGGAAGGGUUGAAUCCAUAUGAGGGGGAAGGGGGCACGGGGGUGCUCACCUGUGUAUUCCAAAUCAUGGAGGGGGUGUCUUCUGUGGAGGUGAUUCUUCCUCCUUCAUGGCCCUGUUCCUCCUCCUCCAUGGAUCCCUCUUCCCUUCUUGGACGUGGGGGGGGGGGAUGAGUGGUUUGGUGAGAUCUGUUUUGGUCCUGUUUUGUGGAUACCCCUUUUUAUUAGCUUUCUGCCCUCAUUUUUCCUUUCCAGCUAGGCUUUUCCCAUGUGAUGUGGUUGUUAGCUUUGGUAGUUUUGCCCUCAUCGACAGUAGCUGCUUUUGUUGACUGGAAAAAGUUGGAAGUGUGGUAGUGUUAUCAUUGUUGCUUAUUUUUUUCCUGUGUGUGAAAUUCCACCAAUGUCCGGUCUCCUUUUCUUGUGUAAAUCUUUUUUAUUUUGUUGUAUUUCCGGUAAAUUUUUAGUGGAAUUAGUGUCAUGCAUGUUUUUUGUCUGUGUGUUUUAUGUUUGCUAUUUUUUUGUAGGCAUGCAGUACCGGGUGUGGACCCGUUAUAUGGACAGGGAGACAGGGGACAACAUGUCUUUAGCGACGCAGGACAGGGACAGAAUAGAGGACAAGUGUCAACCUGUAAUUGGAUACAUUUUUCGGAUGAAAGCUAAUUACAUUUCAUCCGGAUGUGAAAUAGACAGUCCCUAAUAAUAUAAGAGAGUUUUUACAGUCCCAUGUACUGCUGAUAGGGGAGGAGCAAUAUAUCAAAAUCCAACUACUCAUGUUUCGAGGGUAGGAUUGGCAUAGAUUUUUGUCAUGGGAACCUUAGUGACGGUCGUCGGUUGAUGACCGGAAAUCAAGACGCCGAGCCCCGAUGUGACGUCCCACGACUCCUCCACGGUCUCCUUCGCUGUCUUUUGCUCUCCUGCUCCGGUAGCUAGACAAGUCGACCACGAGCUCUGCCUCGAGCUCGGCUUCUUCGUCACACCCGAGGACCACCGUCGGCAUCAGCGCGCUCCCUUGCCGUCUUCACUGCAUCUUCGGCCAUUUCGGCGCGUCCAUCGAGCCCGUGGUGAGGCGUUGCUCCUUUGCGCCUCCAUUCUCGUCGUUUUCGUCCACCGUAGCUUGGUCUCGCUCAAGCCGGCGCCCUGUCCACCAUAGGCGAGUCCCUGGAGCUCGUCCUGCACGCACACACCCAAUCACGCGUGAGCCCGUUCGUGAACCAUGCCCUCAGCAACAGCCGUUCGUGAACCAUGCCCUCAACAACAGCCGCAUCACAACGCGUGAGCCCGUUNNNNNNNNNNNNNNNNNNNNNNNNNNNNNNNNNNNNNNNNNNNNNNNNNNNNNNNNNNNNNNNNNNNNNNNNNNNNNNNNNNNNNNNNNNNNNNNNNNNNCAGCACUGCSCMMGCCUCCUCCUCCUCCUCCUCUUCCGUGCCGUCUCGUGUAGCUUUUUUUCUUCAACGAAUUAAGCCGCUCUUUGCCCGUCUCCUGUAGCUACUUCGGUUUGUUCUGCUUGGCGGAAUGAUACUACUUUCUGGACCUGUUUCGAUUCUGGCAUCACGAUUAGAUGAGAUUUUUGCUGCUUACGCAUGCCGUGCCUUUUGGCAUGUUUGUUCGUCCCAGGAUUUGAAUUUUCUAAGGUUGUUUCAUAACAGAAAAGUUUUCCCAGACCGGUGGAAAGCGGAGAAAGGUCGGGUUCAGACUUGAGACGGACGCUUGUUUAUUUAAUCAGGGUUAAUGUCGCUAUAUUCGGUUAUGUUUGUUGGGCUUGUAAUCAUGACCUACCGCACUGCAAUAUACUGUAAUGGUUAUUUCCAACUGGAGACAGUCUCAACAUCCUACUAUGUUCUGUCUUUCCUGUCUCAUUCUGUACGCAAGCUUUUGGUUACCUAAUGACAUGCAGUCCGAUCAAUAUUUAUGCUCUGAAAAUUGCUUUUUGCAGUACUCCAUCCACAUUGUCCAUGUCCAUACCUCCAGAGCUUGCUGGAGCAAUCCCGCUAAUCGACAGGUUCCAGGUACAUGUCUGCUUGAUUCUGGCAUACCCACUUUACCCAGGGACAUGAUAUAUCUCAUGGAAAUUUCAAAAGGGAGGGAGAAAUCAUCUGCUACUGUACGAAAUGCUAACUUUAGCAUCGAGCAUAACCCGUUAUUCUAUAGAUGCGUGGGACGGGGCUAUAAAUUAGUUUGUGUGUGGGGUGGGUGGGUUGUUUACAUUAAGAAGGAUAAGUUGCAUUACUUCCAUGCUUGAAUUCUCUUCUAAACUACCAGAAAAAGGAGUUUCUUCUACCUACCACAGUACUCUCCAUACAAAGGAACAGUAACAACUACCAUUUUUUGGUUGGGUCUCUCUACAUUUCUCUUAUUUUCUGUCUCAAUGGCAACUUUUCGUAACCAUUCUAUAGAUGCACUGAAACAUUUUAGUACGAUCAACUUUAAUAGUAUGCCACAAAUUAUUCAGUAUUAGUUAGUAAGCACGAAUAUGGUUACCAUAGUAACAUUUUGUCCCAAGUUAAAUUUAGUGUUGCAACAUAACAGGUGGAGGGAUUUCUCAAGGCAAUGCAAAAACAGAUUCAAUCAUCUGGAAAGCGUGGGUUUUUAUUAAAAAUCAGUGGGUCCGCAAGUUCGUGAGAAGUUCACUUUGGAAGAUAUGUUGUGUUUCCAAAAGGUAAUGUUAUUGAAUCCUAUUCCAUGUACGAGAUUAUGUGGUAGCAAUCUGAUUUCUGAGCAAGUUCUCUUACUGUGUUCGUAAAAUCUUAUGCAGAGCUACAAAAUCAUCAUGAAAAUGCUUAUGAUGCCAUUUUGUUUUAUUAAUUUAGCGUUUCUAUGCUCUCUUUUCGCAGGACCCUAUUCCAACUUCGUUACUGAAAGUACCUAAUGACCUUGUAAGCCGCUCAAUUAAAUUAUUCCAUGUCAUAUUAAAGUACAUGGGCGUCGAUUCACCCGCAAUAAUAAGUUUGGAAGAAAGAAUUGAGCUUGUUGCAAAGCUUUAUAAGCAUACUUUGAAGCGGUCUGAACUUCGAGAUGAGCUAUUUGCGCAGAUUUCAAAACAAACACGUAAUAAUCCCGAUCGGUAAGUAAUAGGUUUGUCAUGUAGAACAAGCACCUGCUGGCUUCAGAUUUAUUUGAGGGAUCAUAGUUUUAUUGUUCUUGCAGGAGUUGGUUGAUAAGAGCUUGGGAGCUAAUGUAUUUAUGCGCAUCUUCCAUGCCACCAAGCAAAGAUAUCGGGGCAUACUUGUCUGAGUAUGUUCACUACAUUGCUCAUGGAGCCACAACUGAUUCAGAUGUUCGAGUUCUAGCACUGAACACGCUAAAUGCAUUAAAACGUUCGGUUAAGGCAGGCCCACGGGUUGCAAUUCCUGCACGGGAGGAGAUAGAAGCUCUUUUAACCAGCCGGAAGCUUACAACAAUUGUCUUUUCUUGGAUGAAACGUUUGAAGAGAUCACUUACGACAUGGCAACAACUGUUGCCGAUGCUGUUGAGGUAUCUGCAUUUCUCCUAAGCUAAUGUGGGUUUGGAACUGAUAUGUGCCAAAUGGUUCUUUAGAAGAAUGUACGUAGUCAGAUCUAGAAGAUUGCUUGGCGGUAUGCAACUUUGGUUGUGAUUUGAGUUGUCGCUUUUGGUAUAACGACUAUUACAUUAACCAAGUAAUGGGCCUGUAUUGUCAAUACUUCCAAACUUGCCUCUUAGAGUGUGUCCAUAGGGUGGUUCAUUUAAUUGAUUUUCGUUUUGUUAGUUUUGUGGUCAUGAUAAAGUAUGGGCGUGGAUUGUCAUUACACAAGUAUGCACUGAAUACAAGUCUUCCAUUCAUAGAUUGAAUGUAUAUUUUACUGGAACCGCCCAACCAUAGUUAAAAUGGAACCUGUGCCACAGCAUCUCUGGCUGGAUUCACUUGUAUGUAGCUCAUUGCUACUAGGUGUAUACACAGUCUAGAGAGUUGCUCUGUUCAGAAUUUCAGAUACCUCAUGACUGAGCCUAACCACCUUAUACAAUUAGGCUGUAGGUAGGGUGUCAGUAUGGUUAUUGACCGUUUUCAUCACCAUUCCAUGCUCUGGGAAGUAAGUAGUCACAACUCACAGGGACCUUCUUCAGCUCCUAUAGUUCCAUAAGGUAAAUGCACAGCUACUCAACCCUGCAAAGGUGUUGCACUUUGUGCUCUGUGUCAUACAUAUGAGCCAUUGUGGCUACUUGCUUAUUCCUUAGUAUUGUUUGACCAAAUUGUGGUUAUUCAACCAUACUAUCACAUCCCAGUAUACGUGUUUCUGUUGUACUUUUUCCUUAAUAAGUUUUCGCUUCAAACUUGUAUGCAUGUUUUUUUGUUGACUUGAAGUCGUAAGUAAACAAAAUAUCCUGUUAUGAUAGGAACUUGCUGGCAUCAUCAAACUUUCAGUAUAUUCCAGUUUCAGUCUUUUCGAAUGCCGAAAGAUUGUUAAUGGAUCGAAGUCUUCAGAAGUUGGCAACGGUAUUUCUUUUACUCUCAAGUUGCAGCCUCCCUUUCUGUCGAAAUUUAAUUUAAUUAAUUUAUUUCUGACAUGCAGAGGAAUACAUUGGGUUAGACGACAACAAGUACAUUGGGGACUUGCUAUCUGAAUUCAAGUCAGCUAAGGAUCGCAACAAAGGAGAAAUUUUGCACUGCAAACUUGUAUUUAAGAAGCGCCUCUUUCGUGAGUCUGACGAGGCUGUGACUGACCCGAUGUUCGUUCAGCUAUCAUAUGUCCAGGUACUGGUUUACGUAGCCAGAUGAAGAGCUUACAGUUUGUAGGCUAUGCAGGCAAUUUUGUUUCCAACAUAGCACUGACCAGUAUCCUUCUUCUGCAGUUACAACAUGAUUAUAUUCUAGGCAACUACCCAGUAGGCAGGGAUGAUGCUGCACAACUCACUGCUCUGCAAAUAUUGGUCGAGAUUGGAUUCAUUGACAAUCCUGAGUCCUGCGUGUACGUAGUUUAUAAGGCUCUAUGAUCUCUUAUCUUGCUUUUCCAUAGUUUUUCUUAAUAAUAAUUCAUCGUAUUUUGUUCUGAAAUGCCAUUUUCUUUUGCUAGUGAAUGGAUAUCUCUUCUAGAGAGGUUUCUACCUAGACAAGUUGCAAUUACUAGAGCAAAGAGAGACUGGGAGCUCGACAUCAUCUCACGCUACCAGUUAAUGGUAUUCAUCUAGCUGUGCAACUUUAUGCUAUUGAGUAUCAACUGUAGAUGAAUCACAUCACACAAAUUUGUGCACUUAAUUUUCUACACAUGUUUUUCAUCUCCAUGUCCUGCAAUAAUCAUAACAGUGAGUGUAUUUGUGAUGCACCACAAACUGUAUGAACACAUAAGAAAGCGAUGUUGUUCUAAAUUUUAGUUAUUUCAGAAUUUCUCAAGGAAUUAAUUUUGAUGCAUGCCUGGUGAUUUUUUUCCCCACGAUCUGAUUCUACAUUGGCAAGCACAUGUGAUAUCUCAGUUACCUAAGCAUUUCACUGUUGCAUCCAGGAACACUUGUCAAAAGAUGAUGCAAGGAACCAGUUUCUCAGAAUCUUAAGAACUCUUCCAUAUGGCAAUUCAGUUUUCUUCAGCGUUCGGAAAAUUGAUGACCCAAUAGGACUUUUACCUGGAAGAAUCAUUUUGGGAAUCAACAAACGAGGGGUAAGAUACUUUUUCAUAUGAUGAAAAUAGUAUAUGUCUUCUUCUAAUUGAGGCUAAUCUUGUAAUUCUGCUUUAACGCAGGUCCACUUUUUCGUCCGGUUCCUAAGGAAUACCUACAUUCUGCAGAGCUGAGAGACAUAAUGCAGUUUGGGAGCAGCAAUACUGCUGUUUCUUUAAGAUGCGUGUUGCUGGCGUCCUUCACAUCUUUCAGUUUGAAACUAAGCAGGUAUUUUGAACCCUCACAGAGGAGAUAGUACAUUAGCGUAAUCUUAUAAAGCUGUCAACUGGGUCAAAGUAACCAAGUAUUUAUAUUUUUAGGGUGAAGAAAUAUGUGUAGCACUUCAAACACAUAUAAAUGAUGUGAUGCUCCGCAGAUAUUCAAAAGCACGGUCUGGCUCUGCUACUAGCACGGUUUCUCAGAAUGAUGUUUCUCAAGCAGAUAAGCCACCAAAUGCUGAAAUGUAUGACAAGCGCGUCCAAGAACUGUCAAAAGUAGUCGAUGAGUCUCAGAAGAAAGCAGACCAGGUGAGUUCAGAACUUUGUGAGAAAUGUCUUAUUACCUGGUAAACGUUGUGCAAGCAUUCUAGAAUUUUUCCAUGCUAGUGCUACACUGCUACAUUGAAAUCCACUCCCUCCGUUUUAACAUAAGUGUGUGAUUUUAGUUCAAUUUUAAGUUUUAACUCAAGACAUUCAUGAAAAAGGAUUGAAAAAUGUAACUAAUAGGUCAUUUCAUUGCAAUUGGAUUGAAAAAUGUAACAAACAGCUAGUAGGUUAAAAGGAUUGUAAUACCAUGUAUGUAACUAAUAAAUAUUUGAUUUUUUGCUAGCUAUGCACAUUGUAAUGUGCCCAAGUGUAUUUGCAAUUUUCAGUUUACAUGACUUCUUCCAUAAGGAAAGACUAAAAUUCCCGUUAGCUGAUGUUUUUGAAACCUAACUUUUGUCUUGCAACAUAUUAGAGAAAAUGACACCAUCUUUUACAUGACUGGCCAUCUAAGUACUUAAUGGUCCUUUUUAUUGUUAGUUGCGGGAUGAGUUACAGAGGAAGACACAACAAGAAAGAGAGAUGCAAGAAGAAUUGGAAGGGCUAAGAGAUACCUUACAAUCUGAACGACAUAUCAUUAAAGAAGUAACAAGUGAGCGGGAUAGGCUAAAAUCCCUAUGUGAUGAAAAGGAAUCUUCUUUGCAGGUAUGGUGAUGUGCAAUUUGUGUAGUUAAAUUGUUUGGACCAUCUAACUUGCAAUUUUAUUAGGUUGCAUUGGUGGAGAAAAUAGACUGGAGACCAGAUUAACAAAUGGUCAGGGCCACGAGAACAAUACUAAAAUAGACUUAUCUGGUAACCAUUGUGAAAGAGAUACUUUGACGACCGUAGGCAGCGUCAACAGUGGCAUUGAGGUAUUUUACAACAGUCAUGUACAUUAUGGUUGAGCUUAUUGUUGCAAAUAUUUCAUGGUUCAUUUGUUUAUCUUGUGUUUGAAAAGAUGUUGACUAAGCUUGAGGAGGAGUUGAAAUCAUGUCAAAAAGAGCUUGCUGCCUCGAAAGAAGUAUUAAAGAAGUUAAUGAUAGAAAAGAAUAUGCUUGAACAGAGGAUUCAAAGGCUUGAAAGAGCAAAAAGUGAAGAGGUUUUUGUUUAAUCAUCAAACAUUUCCUUUUUCCUGUUCCUGGUCUUGCAGCGAAUACUUUAUUUGCUUCAUAUUUCUGAAAAUAUUGUUACUUUAACUAUGCAGAAAAGUACGAUGCAAAGAGUUUAUGAGGAUGAAUGUCGUAAGUUAAAAGCUCAUACAGCUACACUGGAAAAAAUUUGGAAAGUACAACACAGUCAUUAAAUGUCGCUGAGUCAACUCUUGCUUUGAGAAAUACUGAGGUGGAUACAUUGCAAAAUACUCUCAAGGAGCUUGAUGAGUUAAGAGAGUUUAAAGCGGUAUGUGUAAGACAUAAUAUCCACAUUCAGUCUCUUUUAGGUUCUGUAGAAAUUCACAUACGUCCAUUGUGCGUUCAUUCAGGAUGUAGACAGAAAAAUCAACAGACCGCUGAGAUCCUUAAAAGGCAAGGAGCACAAUUGGUUGAGCUUGAAAGUCUUUAUAAGCAAGAACAGGUUUUGCGAAAGCGUUACUAUAACACAAUUGAAGGUAUGGUAGAAUAAAAUAUUCACACAACUGCAGUUAUUAUGGUAUUUUUACAACAACUUGAUUAUAAAUUGAGCUGCAACUCUUCACAGAUAUGAAAGGAAAAUAAGAGUUUUUGUCGCUUGCGUCCUCUAAACGACAAGGAGGUUUCUUUGAAGGAUAAAAAUAUUGUAUGCAGUCCUGAUGAAUUUACAAUUGCACAUCCGUGGAAAGAUGACAAGUCAAAGCAACAUAUAUAUGAUCGUGUUUUUGAUGCAUAUACCACCCAAGAAGAUGUAUUCGAGGACACGAAGGUAAAAUAUAUCUAAAUUUAGGUUUUCUUUCUGUCGCAAUAUAAUUCACUAGAGCAACAUAUAUAUGAUCGUGUAUCUGAUAUUAUUCACCUUUGUUUUGUUGAACAUGGUGCAGUAUCUAGUACAAUCAGCUGUUGAUGGCUAUAAUGUUUGUAUAUUUGCUUAUGGUCAAACUGGUUCCGGAAAGACUUUUACAAUCUAUGGUUCAGACAACAAUCCUGGUCUUACUCCAAGGGCUACGUCAGAACUUUUAGGGUUAUAAAGCGUGAUGGCAACAAGUAUUCAUUUUCCUUGAAGGUAAGAACUAUUUUUCAUGUGCAUUUUAUAUUCCAUAUGACCGGGAAAACAUCUCUUCUUUCUGGACUGUUCAACAAGCAUAAUUUUCAAUGUUGACGAAAUGAUUUGUAUUGUUAGCACUCCAGUGUUGAUCAUUAUAUAUUGUUUGGGUCCUUUGUUGACUCUAGUCGUUAUCAUAUGACGUCCAGGCAUAUAUGGUGGAACUCUAUCAAGAUAAUCUUGUGGACCUGUUGUUGCCCAAAAAUGCUGUGCGACAAAAAUUAGAAAUAAAAAGGACUCUAAGGUAUACAAGCUCCUUCCUUAUAUGCAUUUGCUUCCCAUUUUUCAUACAGCUCUGUAGAGUUAAUGGUCAUCCUAUAAUCCUUAUUUAUUUGGGUGUUUACUUUUUCUUGUAGCUCUUCAGUAAGACAAGUUACAAGUUUCCAUGUUUGAUUUUCUUGUGACUUUUGACUUCUGAGCAUCACCUCCUGUAGGCAUCAACUAUUUUUGCUAUCUUGGUUUACUUCUGUAGUUGAAGAGCAGACAAUUUUACCAGUUUUUAGAUAAUAGACCACUCCUUGGUAAUGAUGAUUAUUUUCAUAUGCUUCCAUAAUAAAGCUGCACAGUUCUAAAUAACUAUGGUAGGAGAGCAAUAGUGGUUAGGAAAAGUUCAUCAUCUCCACCUGCACAAUUAUUUUGGGAAGUGUAGAGUUGACUUCCCUUUGUUAACACGUGGAAGCAUGUCUUUCAUGAUCAGUAGAUAUUUAUAUUUCUAUGCAGCUAGCUAACUUGUGCUUUUCUUUCUAGGGUGUUGUUACUGUCGAAAAUGUUACAGUUGUAAACAUUUCAAGUUUUGAAGAACUGAAGACUAUAAUCACAAGAGGUUCUGAGAGAAGACACACCGCUGGAACAAAUAUGAAUGAUGAGAGCUCGAGAUCUCAUUUAAUCCUUUCAAUAAUUAUUGAAAGUACCAAUCUCCAAACUCAAUCUUAUGCAAGAGGAAAGGUAUGACAGCAUGAAUUUGAGAAGUUCACAUAACUUUUGUUCAGUCGUAGCUCGUUUUAUUUGAUCCGUAUUCCAAUAAGAGAUUUGCAUGUUAUGAUGGUCUACCUUCAAUUGUGAACACUUCAUAUUUGUAGAACUAUGUAUGCUUGCUAUAAAAAUAGUCAUAUCUUUCACUUGAUGCAGAUUUGGCAAACACUGAGGAAUAAAACUAGAAAACUACUCUUAUAUGGACAUACUUCAACUACUCCCUCCGAUCUGUAUUAAUUGAGGCUGUUUUAGUAAGUUGUACUAAAGCCGUGUCAAGUAAUAUGGCUCAGAGGGAGUAUCAUAAUUGCUAUGCCUCAAUUUUCUUAGCUUAAAGUUCUCGCGUUUAUGCCAUUUGCUUCCCCAAAAGAACAAACUUCUCUCCUAUAUGUUUUGUCUUUUCAGUCAGUAUUUCUAGUCAAAUGGAAUUCGUUUAUUUCCUUCAGAAAAUGUGGUAUCUCGUUAGGUUUGCCUACUUGGUCUAGCUCCUAAUCAAAUUAUUGUUUCGUAAUGUUCAUUCUCUUUCGUUUGAUAUUAUUUAAUUCACUAGAAAUUUAGUUUUGUAACAUGCAUUAAUUUGCUUUUCUUAACAAAUUGCUGACAUUGGUAUUCCUUUUGAACUGAACAGCUAAGUUUUGUGGAUCUUGCUGGUUCCGAGAGGGUGAAAAAAUCUGGUUCAGCGGGAAAACAAUUAAAAGAAGCACAGAGCAUCAAUAAAUCCCUUUCUGCAUUGGCUGAUGUUAUUGGUGCUUUAUCUUCUGAUGGCCAACAUAUACCAUACCGGAACCACAAGUUGACAAUGCUUAUGAGUGAUUCGCUUGGAGGCAAUGCAAAAACAUUGAUGUUUGUGAAUGUUUCACCAGCGGAGUCAAACUUGGAGGAGACUUACAACUCACUCAUGUAUGGACUUCCCAUUGCUUAUUUACUCUUUGCAUUUCUUUUCAUUGCCAUCGUUGUCUAUCUCUCAGAUUGCUUUGUGGACACGAAAAGUUAACUGAAUUUUCUUGCAUCGCAUGCUUUAAUAUCCUGCAUGAUGUGCAUAGCUUCUGUGAUAUUUUUUGUUCCAUGGUUUUCAAUUUGCAGUGCAGCUGUUCACUGACAUUUUUUGGCCUGCUGUAGGUAUGCUUCACGAGUACGCUGCAUUGUGAACGACACGAGCAAGCACGUUUCCCCAAAGAAAUCAUGCGGUUGAAGAAGCUGAUUUCUUAUUGGAAGGAGCAAGCAGGCAAGCGGAGCGAGGGCGAUGAACUGGAGGAAAUACAGGAAGAGAGGAUAUCAAAAGAGAAAGCCGACACCCGGUUGGCCGCUUGAGGCUGAGAUACAACCGCUGACGCCUUCCCCCUGAAUGCACCUGGUUUCCGUUCUCACACCCAGCCGCAGAGGUGACCCAGUGCUUCGCCGAAGUAGUGGAUGGAAUGUUUCUGAAAAUGUAUAGUUAGCGAUUAUAUAUUAUGGCGGGGGCGCCUGUUUGUACAAAGAGCCUGUAGUAUACAUUCAUAGGAGAAGGGAUGAAGAGUUUUUAGGAGAGAAAAUCCCACUUUCUUUUGUCGUCUUAGCGGUGAUUGUCGGCCUUUUGCUUCUAUGUAGAAAUGCCAGCGUUGGGUACGGCUACCAGUGUUAUCAUCGAUGAUUAAUUGGCAGCAAAGUGUUUAUUACUAUGGAUAUAAGCAAUUCACGAAUACCUGGAGGAUGCUGAAAAGUACCAGUCUUGGAGAAUUUGGAUACCUUUGGUGGUGUCACAAGUAGGGUGAUAAGCAUCACAACUUUCAGACAGCUGGUUAUUUUAUAUAAUUUUUUGUAGGUUUAUCAAUAUAAUAAAAUUAACAUAUUUAUUUUAAUUAAAAAUGCAAUUUAUGCGUUAGCAUGAUGGCAACAGUCAACCCCAGCUGUCCCAGGUCAACCCUGACAGCUGAGCCCCACCUGUUAGAGACACACAUGUCAGAGACAGCGGCCUAACCAGGAUUUUAUUUAAACUAAUUAACUAUUUGGACCCACAUGCCAGUGUCACAAAUUCAAAUUAAUUAACUUAAUUAACUGAUUGAGUUAAUUAGUCGGUGGGGAACCCACCUGCCCGUGUCUGUUUAAAAUGAUAGAGAAAAUUUAUCUAAGGGAAAAUCUAAUCAACGACGCCGCACUAGGCCGUUCCCGACUGCUUGCGUCGUGCAUGCAUUUUUUCUUCAUGGGUUACUAUCCAAUGUUUAGUGGAAUUUUGUCUAUAUAGAGUAAACACGCAUGUUUGUCGAAAUGUUCUACCUCGUACUACCAUCAUCACAUUAUAUUAUUUUCGAAUUUUAAAAUAAUUUACCUCACAAACCAAUAAUUCGAUUAGAGAUCCGUUUUCAUCGAUAAGUUCGUCUCGGCGUGGCCUUCAAAACAAGAUCAUAUAUUGAUAUGUUUUGAUGAAUUUUCGUUCGUUAUCGGUUGCCACAAUUACAUCAUCAUAGUUUUCAUAUUAAACAUGUACAGUUGUCAUAAAAAUUAUACAUAGUUACGUGAACAUUUUAUAUAUUUUUAAAGCAUUGCUGUGCUAUGUGAAGCUACAGAGUGGGCAUUAAAUUGCUGCAAAAAGAUAGAAAUUGCACAAGUACCAUGCAUCAAGUUUUUAGUGGUUUAUAUUGUUGUUCAUCAAGCUAACAACCAAAAUGAUUUAAUUUGACAACUAAGUAAAUAAUAAUGUGGCAAGGAAGUGACAAUAAUCUGGCAAGUACCGGCGAAAAAAGUUAUCAAAACAGGUUAACAUGAGAUCUAGUUUUGAAGAUCUCAUCGCAAGAAAGUAAACUGUAAAACGGAUCAUCAAGUGAGAUAACGGUUUGAGAGAUAAAUCUUUUGAAAAUGCAAACCAAAGAAUAUUUGGUGAUCUCAUACCUGUGUAUUGCUCCAUGGAUGGAAGAAAUGGAUGAGAGGGAGCCGCCGCAUCGAAAGACAAAUAUGCGGCGUCGCUGUGUAGUUGGAUCCUUUAUUUAAACUAAUUAAUUUACUAAUUAUUUGGCCCCACAUGUGAGUGGACCAAUUAGCACUAAUUAGGUGGCCUGACGUGGGGACCCGCCAGACAACGACUCACCGGUGUUCACACACGGUCGCGCUCCCACGGUGACCAAAACAGCAGCAGCGCGACUUGGGUCUCGCCGAAAAUCAUCUACAUGGCACCAUUUGGCGUGCGGCCGAUCGAAAUCGAACGAGAGGAGAGAACCGCAUCGACCUGCGGUGGUGGCCGAGGCUGGGGGAGGGAUUAGUCGUUGGUAAUAAGCGGAGCGAACGCGUGCAUUCAGGUGUGGUCGGGAUCGAAGCUAGGGGCUCGGGAGGGCACGUGCGUGGGUGCACUAGCUUCCUACGAGCUCCAGGAGCUCAAUGUCGUGCUCGGACACGGGCUGCGGUGGUUGUGGCUGCGCCGACGGCGUGCACAUGCGGCGACCAGCUUCGCCCCGAUGGAAUCGGGGGCCAGAGCUCGAAAUCGAGGAGGGGAAGGAGGGGGAAGUGGUCAGGGGCUCACACCGGUCCCGUAGUUGAUCAUAGCAAGCUCGGGGAGGCCUGGCAGCGUCGAAAUCGGUGACGAAGCGCAGCGGCGCCCGAGGAGGAAGAAGAGGCUGAGCCGGCGCUGGGCUCGCUCCGGGCUUGCUCCCGUGGGCGAGGACGAAGCUAUAGACGGGGCGGUGCUCCUGGAGCGGUCCUAGAGCUCGGUGAUGGCGACGGCCACGAGGGCGACGGUGGUCAUGGCGACGGAGGCUCGGGCGUGCAACAAAUCGAGCGAAAGAGGGGCGAGGAGAGUGAAGGGGGUGUGCGACAGCCCGAGACCGACGCUCUGAAGAUUCCCCUUUUAUUUCGUUGCCGCUGUGCAAUUAGAUUGUCUAUUGCAUUCAUCAUCGCAUUAUGCGCAUCAUCCGCAUUGCAUUGACACUUCGUUGUUGCCAGUUUUCAAAACUUGCAUCCGUUAUUAGCUACCGCACACGCGCCCGCGUCAUCGAUUUUUUUCUUGGUUUUAGGUGUCCGAAAAAUAUUCUCAGUUUGGAUUGAAACUUGGCGUGCGGUCUUUAUAUGUUGUAGGUAGACCACCGCUUGCAAAUUUUGUCGCAAUCGGAGUCCGUUUGAUACCCGAACGGUCGACCGUAGUGGUACCGUCAUCGGUUAUUAUCGAACGUUUUUGAUGUUUCAAAAUGCGCGUCACGUACCACAAUUUCCCUCUCAUCUUAGCUAAACACCCCCUCAACACAACCACUAUUCCACCUAACCCUACCGUGUGACUUGGGCCGUCCUAUCGCGAUCGCGUGGUCGAAACCGAAGCUAGAAACCCCUAACCCUAGCCCCCUGUCUAUAAAUAGAUAACCCCCUGCCUAAUUUAGACCUUACCCUAACCCUCCUCGUAAUCCGUGCCCACAACUCUCUCCCAUCUCCUCUCUCCCCCAGUCGCCGGGCCCGCCAAGCCCAUCUAAGGCCCGCCCUGGACCCGGAUUAGGCCGCCGCCGCCAACCGCAGCCCCAAUCGGGAGCACCUCCCAUGGCGCCAGAGGAUCCCGAGCUCUUGUGGCCGCCUGCUGCGGCAACAAAGUCCUUCCCUGGCGCGUAGGAAUUCUUCUUGUUACUUCUCUAGUUUGCGUCGGUUUUUCCCUUGAAGAGGAAAGGGUGAUGCAGCACAGGAGCAGUAAGUAUUUCCCUCACUUUGAGAACCAAGGUAUCGAACCAAAAGGAGAGCCUCGUCAAGUCCAAAGUACCUGCGCAAAAACAACAAGCUUGCAUGCNNNNNNNNNNNNNNNNNNNNNNNNNNNNNNNNNNNNNNNNNNNNNNNNNNNNNNNNNNNNNNNNNNNNNNNNNNNNNNNNNNNNNNNNNNNNNNNNNNNNCCCCUGGGUCCARCMCUGYMKGGCCUCGUGCCCACGGCCGCUGCCACACCACUCGCCGCCGCGGCCAAUCUCAACCACCACUGUUGUCGAUCUCAACCCACCCGCCUCCGCGGCUGUACCUCUGCCCGCUUGCUGCCCCGUUUCGGCGCUCGAGCACAACUUCUGGAUCAAAUCAACGCGACAGCUACAGUGACUGGGGAUGAUUCGUCUGCUCGAUGCAGAAUGACGGCGGCGCGCGGAUAAGGCGCGGCGGAGCGAAGUGGAGGCGGGCCUUCAUGGCUCACACGGGGAACUCCGAGGUUAUGGCGCGACAACGGCGACUCCUUAUGGCCAGAUAGAGGCGCAUAACCCUUGCUCCCCUCAUCGUAUCCCCUCCUCCGGCAAAAACUCAUCAUCUGGUGAGAUCCCCUCUCCAUGCCUCCAACCGUGUGCCAAGCACCGGCAAGAAAUUUUGUUUGUGGGGAUUUUUUGCUGAUGAAUGAAUGUAUUGAAUGUAAGAUUGUAUUAUUGUAGAGACAGAGAAUGGAACACCACCUUUAGUUUGUCAUUUGAUCCCACAUUUUCUACCCCAUGAGUGUAAUAAGAUAACAGUCCAUUGAUCAAUUCACGUAGUCUCUUUGUUUUGCUUUGCUUGUCCCGCUCAAUUUCUCAUCAUGAUGGAAUUAACAAUGGACGGGUUGAUUUUUCAACAAAAUAGGAUAGGACUGACUACAUUAGUUAGUUAGCUUAUUAUUUUAAUAAAUCAAAAUGAUUAUUAAAAAUUAAAAGCGUGUGGUAUUUUUUCUCCCGUUGCAACGCACGGCCCCUUUUGCUAGUCUAUUUAAAACAAAGUAACCUUGGUAAAAUACAUUUUUGAGGCGCAGGAGUAUAUACUCUUUGGAGCAAAAGCACUAUCGGUAAUAGUACGCACCACUUGAUAGAGAUGGAAACAAGAGUUUUGUCUACAAUGGAGAUAGUCAAGAGGUAGGAGCACUGCGCAAUUUCUCCAUUGGAAGAAGAGAAACUUCCCGCAUCUCGACCGGAAACCAGUAAAAUCCAAAAAUAUACUUUCCGCCGUUCAACAGAAGCCAAUUUUCCAGGAAGUUGCAAUGUCAGUUGAUUUCCUUCAGUUGUUGAUGUGACAGGGGGCAUAUGAUGGGGCAAUCAUGGAGCCAAGAAUAUUACUCCAUCUCAAAUGAGUGGUUCCCUUUAUAUAUAUAUAAAAAAAAAGUGGCUCCACUGAAGAACAAUGUAAGUGUGGUUCUAGAGUCAUUAAACUAGAUCAAAGUGAUAUGGCUAUUACUCAAGUAAAACCAGAGCUGCGUCAUCGAUCGCUACUGCUAGUGGAAUACCAAGGAUGGCAGCAAGGUAGUUUUCAACGUGAUGUAACUGAAGCUACUCUCGUUCAAACCUUUGAAGAGGUUGAUUGGUCAUCCUGUGAACUGUGAUCCCAGUCCAGUUCAAGUGGAUUCUCGAGAGUCCUUGUCAGUCUUAAGGCUCUAAGCACAUACUUUUGUUUUAUUUUCCUUGGGGUGACUAAAGAAUAACAUUCUUGCUAAUAGAUUAUUCCUGGUUGUCAUAUUUUUGUGGACAUCAUGGUUGUUAUAGUGAGAAGGAAAGGCUCUUGGUGAGUUGUCUAGAGUUUAAUUUAACCUAAAAUCUUAAUGGUGCGCGCACACGAUCUUGUUUAAGCGAGCAGCCACGUCGACACUGCAUGCGUCUCGUUUAGGGGUUUCUUUUGUUUGCAGAGAUAUGAAACACUGCAUGUGCAUUUAUUUGAAUUUUCAAAAUUUUGAAAAAUCAUACAUUUCAAACCAUGCGUCGGAAUUUAAAUUCGUUUUACAGUUGGAAUCCUCACGACGAUAUCUUUAGAACUAGAUCCUGCAUGAGUCUAUUUAGACGGAAAAAAUCAUGUCAACUGUGAUGCUAUAUGAUGCAACUCUAUUAUUACUUGCUGCAACUUUAAUGCUACAUGGUGUAACCUUUUUUAAAAUCAAUUUUGAAGUUGUAUGAUCUAACAUCUUAUGAGGUUACAACCUAGCAACCAUGAAAUAAACUUUUUGUGAUUUGUAACUUGUCGGCUUCCCCGACUAACUACCUAAUAGUUGAUGUGCAACUCCCUUCCUAUUUGUGGAUGCGUAGUUUUUACUGCUGCGCACUUUGAGAUAGCUUUUCCAAACCUCCACCAAGUCCAGGAAAAUAAAAUAAAAUGGAUCCUCGCCGGCAACUCCUAAGUUCUAGGGGUUUUCAACCUCCAUGAGUAAAAGAUCAUGCGAAAAGCUUGAAGCUUGCUCAACUCAUGGAAGUGAUUGGUCAAAGGAUAUGGGAAGGUUGGAUCUUGCCUAGGAUUAACUCAUCUGUCAAAUUUCUCACAAAACUGUCCAAGAAUAAGUAGAACUGAGGUUGGGAGAGGUGGGGAUGAAAUAUCGGAUUUAAACUGAGAGGCUCAAAAUGGUUAACCAUAUCCCAAAAGGGUAGUAUGUCGUUUAUUAGAUUUGCCAGCGCUAAGUGGGUCCGCCCAAUAAGGCCACCGUGUGUCUGACUUCCUUCUUUCCUCAUUUCUUUUCCAGUUCUUAUUUAUUUCUCAAUUUUUUGUUUACUAAUUUAAAUUUUAUUUUUUAAUGAAAAUUAUUCUUGGGAAAAUUGGGAAUUUCUAAAGGAACAAAUUUUAGUUGUUAAUAAAUUUAUACUAAUUUUUUCAAGAUCUUUAAUAUUUUCAAAAUUUUGUCACAAUUUUAAAACUCAUGUACCUUUUCCUAAAUUUGUAAAUGCUUUUUAUUCCUUUUCAAUUCUAAACAAUUUUUCAUUCAGAAUAUUUUCUAGAUUCAGGAACAAUAUUUAAAAAUCCAAAAUAGUUUUUAGAAUUUCUGCAAAACCGGUUUUGGAAAAGCACAACUCCUGAUCUGAACCGGUCCUAAACUCAUCGGCAUAGUCUCUUGUAGUAGUAUGUGACCAAUCUGUUUGGUUGUCGAAUUUCCCGAACUUUGUAACUAGUCUUGUGACCAGCGAUAUCGCUGUGUCUUAAUGGAAUGCUCGCGUUCCCGUCAAGAAAAAGUAUGUGACCAAGAUGAAUAUAAACCAACCGAAUCAGACUGGCUCACUGUGCGACAAAAAAUUGAAGUGAAAAUGUGGAUACACGUAGGGGCUAUAUCUCGCCAGUACUGAUUCCUUGUUGGAAUCGCCUACGGGCGAGCUAAUCCGGCCAUCCCAUUAGCCGCAUUCGCUCGCUUGCAUUCCUGUGUCACUGUAGUCACUCAUUGUGCUUCAGUUUAUUUUGACUCUUCUUCAUCUUUUCACCGUUAUCUUUAGUUUUCUUUACCCUUUCAAUACACUUUAGUUUUCAUUGUUUCUCGCUGGGUUUCUUCGGUUUGCUUUCCUUUCUUCGUUAUAGUUUGGUUUUGUUUGUUUCAUUUUGUUUUCUUUGUUUUGCCUUUGCUUCUUUUGUUUCUUUGUGGAUUUUUAUAGGUUUUCCAUGAUUUUGUUUCUUUCUUCAUUUUUAUGAGUUCUAUCUAGAACACAUGUAUACAUAGUUAAUAAGCUUUGCACAUAUUUUUCUUUAGAAACAACAUUUUUGUUGUACUCGUUAAACAUUUUGAUCACAUCACCCUGGGUUACUGGGCAGCCCAGUAGGGUCUCCCUCAAGCAACACGAGCUAGUAUCCUGCAACGAGCGGGACAUAGCCGCACCCAUGGAUACAGGCAUCUCAGCACCUUCCCCAAAAUUCAGAAAUCACUAAUUAAUAAGUUUCCCUUAGAAAUGCCACUCCCACCUCCUCAAGGGUUGACAAGUGGCAGCAUGUAAGUUUCUUUUUUUGUACAUUCUUUUUCAAAAUAUUUCAUCUCUUAAAUCGUGCAUUCAAAUCCUAAACUGUUUUCAGCGUUGGAUUUCUCGCAUCGAUAUCUUGAUAUCAUAUUAAUAGGUUCGACAAAAAAUCACAGAAAUUCCGUAGCAGAAAGCGCGUCUUUUCAUAUUAUUUUUCUCAUUUCGAGAGGAAAAUUUGUCCUUCACAGAUAAGCAAAUAUGUACCUCCAAGAGAAGCAAAUCUAUGCCUCUCAUGAAAAACACAUUGUUUCCUCUUCUGGGAGGCACGGUUGUGCCUCUCAUGGAAGCAUAUUUAUGCCUCUAUAAAAAGAAACUUAUACCUCUCGUGGAUCGUGGAAAAAACACAUUUUUUUCUUUCGAGAGGUACAACUGCAAAUAUGUGUCUCUCCAAGUAGCAAAUAUGUCACUCUUGUGGAAGCAAAAAGUAUAUGUUUUUCAUCCUUUUCCGAGAGGCACAACUGUACCUCUUGCGGGAAACCUGGGCCUCUCACAACAAACCUGUUCCUCCAAAAGAACAAAACAUGUACCUCCACAAGACGCAAACUUGUGCCUUUCUUGGAAGAGAAAAACAAUGUGUUCUUCCCUCUCGUAGAGGCACAAUUGUGUCUCUCAUGGAACCAAAUGUGUGCCUUCACGAGAAGCAAAUAUGUGCCUCUCGUGAAAGAACAAACACACUUUUUCGUUAAUUUUCUCUCCAUAUUUUCUCCUCCAAAAUCUCAUGAUAACUAGGUGAAAACUGAAAACCUAAAAGGCAUUUAAGCCCCAAAAGCUUAUUAAAAGUAAAAAUAAAAUAUCAUGAAAGCGUCCAACAUGCGACAUGCGGUACUGCUCAGUUAGUUGCUCUCCCCAAACUCAUCUUCCAAAGAUGUUGAGUAUUCUACUGAGGUUUGUGUAUCCACUUUCUCAAUAUAUUUUUAGCCCAACUUAAACUCACCUAGCCCAUUUUCUAGGGAGUGACUAACUAAGGAGCGCUCCUUCGGGGCAAAUCCUAUUUGGCGCUGCAUGCAUUGGUUAAAGUGCAUUUUUCUUAACUGACGCCCACAGCAGCGUUCGGUCAUGGGUCACCCAAGCGGAAGGGAGGUUUUCCGGUUUGUGAAGUUUCUGUAAGCUUCCUAGAUGGGUUUUCUCAUUUCGGGUUUUUCAGGACUAGUUUCUCUUCGGGUUUUCUCUUUUUCUUUGUUUGUUUCUGGUCUUUACUCUUUUUAUUACUUUUUCAUUUUANNNNNNNNNNNNNNNNNNNNNNNNNNNNNNNNNNNNNNNNNNNNNNNNNNNNNNNNNNNNNNNNNNNNNNNNNNNNNNNNNNNNNNNNNNNNNNNNNNNNAGCGCCCACCAAAAACCCUUUCCGCCCCAGACGCCGGCAAUUUCCCCUCCCGCCGCCGCUCGUCUUUCCCGCCCCUCCCGCCUCCUCUCCCGUCAUGGCUCCGAAAGGGCCGCCGAGACCGCCGGCGAAGAACGCGAAGGCCGGCACGCUCGGCGUCAAGCGCCUCUUGCUACAGCCGCGCCCACCGAAGGAACGGCCGGAAGGCAUGACCGACGUCGAGUGGGCGGCGGACCAGCUGCGGCGCGAUGCCUCCUCGUCGGAGCGCCGGUUUCGUCGCGAGAGGUCGCUGGCUCGGACCGCGGCGGCGACCCUGGAGACGCUUGUGUGCGCUACCGCGACCGCGACCGGAGGAGAAAGCCCGGGAGGCGCAUCGAGCUCGUCGACUUCGGCGUCGCCGUUCCGCGUGGACGCGGCCAGCACGCCGCGCUCGCAGUCGUGGCUUGGGCCCAGCCAGGGCCUCUCCCCGAACUUCAACGAGCCCGGCGGCUAUGCCGACUACGCUUUCGGCUACGGCAACUUCGGCGGCGGCAACCUCGGUGGCUUCGACCCCAAACAACUGCACUCGUUCGGCGGCACGCCCACCGGAGCCGAGAUGGGGCUCCAUCUGAACGAGGCGUACGAGUCCCCGGGACUGCGCCGGGCGGUGCGGCUGUCGGGCUGGCCCAGUCCGGGCGCACGCUGAUGUUCGAGGACGGCGCCCACAACCUGUUCGACACCGGUCCCCAGGCCUCCUUCGGCACCCAGGCGCCCUCCGGCGGCUACGACUUCGGCACCCAGGCCUCCUUCGGCACACAAGAUGGUGGCGGGAGUGCCGUUGUCGACGAGGAGCGAGACGUCGACAACGCCGGCGACGAGUUCCACGGCUACACUCCCGACCCCGGCUUCCUCGGCUCCAACGAGGUCGUGAACGUCGAUUGACAAACGUCGAGCGCGCCGGCGACGAAUUCGAAUGGUUUUGUAAAGCCAAACCAUUAAAUUAUGGCUAAAAACAUAAUUAUGUAAGACUUUAUUUAUUUUUGCAUUUGAACAAUUCAAAAUUUGGGGGAAAUGAUUUGGGGUUUGAAUUGGGGCUGCGAGUGGGCAGCAGCACCCCCGCUGGCGCCUUCCCGUCCGGACGAGCCCCAAAGGGCCUCGCCGGGCGACCAUCCGGACGCCUAUUGGGGGCCUCGACUGGAGAUGCUCUUAUAUACAGGACGGAGGUUGGGAGGUCUGCAGCAAAACAGUGGUUGCGGACGUCGAUUUUUGAGGAUACCGGGUGCUUUCCUAGUCACUUUACUUGUUUACGCCGCACCUAUCGUUGUCGUCUCCGUGCGGUGGCUGCCCACCUCAUAAGAGCGUCUCUAGUAGAACCCUCAAACCCUUAUAUCUAAAACCAGUUUUAAGGGUUGAGAAUUGGCCAUUUUUGACACUUUUAAGGGUUGAAAAACAGGGGCAAAGACUAGAACUCUCAAACCCAACCCUUAUAACGGAAUAUUCCUGCGGAUCGGCGAGGAGAGCUCGGUCGGCCUCUUGCUGCGGGAGGNNNNNNNNNNNNNNNNNNNNNNNNNNNNNNNNNNNNNNNNNNNNNNNNNNNNNNNNNNNNNNNNNNNNNNNNNNNNNNNNNNNNNNNNNNNNNNNNNNNNCAGCACUGGGCUGCGUCUCGGGAGAUGGAGGGGAGGCGUCCGGGGCGGGACAACGGGAGGUAGUUGGGAUGGGAAAUUUCCCUCACGCGCUAGGAUGGAAAGGUUUGAGGGUUGGGGUAGAUUUUGCUCCCAACCCUCACUUUUACAGGCUGGGAAGGCGUUUGAGGGUUGGACCUUUAAUUUUUUUACGGGUUUAAGGGUUCUAGUCUACGCCGUUUUUUGACAAAAACUGUAAAAAAACGGUUAUUUUUAAGGGUUUGAGGGCUUUACUAGAGAUGCUCUAACCACACGCUCUUGUGUAGACACCCCGACAGUGAGAUCAGAAUUCCAUAUGUAUUGGUGGCAGCAAGGAAUGUUUUUGAAAAUGUGGGAGGACACGGCUUCCACUUUCCAGGACACCAGGAGCCUUUACGUGCGUUUGCUUAUGUAACGCGCGUGACAGACAAACACACAACAAAAGACGCCCAUGCUGCUGCACAAAUCUUGGAGAGUUUUCACAUUGUUUGUAUUUCAACUCAGUAUUGACUGAUUAUUAUCUACAAGAAACUUGUGUGUGCUUGUACAUUUAAAUAUACUAGCAAAAGUGUCCGUGUGUUGCAACAGGAGAAAAAAAUACCACAAGCUUUUAAUCUUUUAUAAUCAUUUUGAUUUAUUAAAAUAAUAAGCUAACUAACUAAAGUAGUCAGUCCUAUCCUAUUUUGUUGAGAAAUCGACCCGUCCAUUGUUAAUUCCACCAUGAUGAGAAAUUGAGCGGGACAAGCAAAGGAAAUAAAGAGGCUACGUGAAUUGAUCAAUGGACCGUUGUCUUAUUUCACUCAUGGAGUAGAGAAUGUGGGAUCAGAUGACAAACUGAAGGUGAUGUUCCAUUCUCUGUCUCUACAACAAUACAAUCUUACAUUCAAUACAUUCAUUCAUCAGCAAACAAAUCCCCACAAAAUAAAAUUUCUUGCCGGUGCUUGGCACACGGUUGGAGGCAUGGGGAGGGGAUCUCACCAGAUGAUGAGUUCCUACCGGAGGAGGGGAUAUGCUGAUGGGAGCAAGGGUUAGGCGCCUCUAUCUAGCCAUAAGGAGUCGCCGUUGCCGCACCAUAACCUUGGAGUUCCCCGUGUGAGCCAUGGAGGCCCGCCUCCACCUGCAAGUACUUCGCUCCGCCGCGCCGCCGCUGUUCUGCAUCGAGCAGACGCAUCAUCCCCAGUCACUAUAACUGUCGCGUUGAUUUGAUCCACAAGCUGUGCUCGAGCGCCGAAACGGGGCAACAAGCGGGCAGAGGUACGGCCGCGGAGGCGGGUGGGUUGAGAUCGACAACAGUGGUGGUUGAGGUCGGUCGCGGCGGCGAGUGGUGUGGCAGCGGCCUGGGCACACGCCAGGGUGGACCAGGGUCGACGCGAUGCGCUCGAGCGCCGCAGCGGGGSSAGUGAGCGGGAGAGGUACGGCCGCGGAGGCNNNNNNNNNNNNNNNNNNNNNNNNNNNNNNNNNNNNNNNNNNNNNNNNNNNNNNNNNNNNNNNNNNNNNNNNNNNNNNNNNNNNNNNNNNNNNNNNNNNNGGGUCGACGCGAUGCGCACGAGCGCCGCAACGGGGGCAGUGAGCGGGGAGAGGUACGACCGCGGAGGCGAGUGGGUUGAGAUCGGCAACGGUGGCGGCUAAGGUCGGCCGCGGCGGCGAGUGGUGUGGCGGCGGCCUGGGCACAGGCCAGGGUGGCCCAGGGUCGACGGGGGAGGCGAUGCGUACGGGUAUAAUUUUGCAGUGAAUCGUUUUUUUCCGUUGCAGAUAAAUGAUGGAGCGCGGGUUGAAUAACAAAAUUACAGGUUUUUUUAAUAAAUAUGCCGCGGUGGGUUUUCUGACGGAAGCAAUAGCCGCUUUAUUAUUAGGUAUAGAUUUAAUUAACAUGAAUAACCACACCACGAGCAAAAUUUAUAUCAUUGAAACUUUUUUAAAUAUCAAUUCAAUGGAAUAAUUUUUGUCUCCGUGGCAAUCAUCUAUGUUAGGUUAAAUAUGGUUAGACUUAUAUCAUAAAAAGUGUAGACCCACUACAUUAUAAAACGGAGAAAGUAUUUAAUGGGGCCUCAAAAAUGAAAAGACUACUCAAGCGAUUAAAAAUAUUAAUAAAAAACGUUCCUUUAGGAGCCUUUCAAAUGACCAUCUGGAGUGGGCUGAGAGUGCGUCAGCCGUCGUCAUGUGUUGCGUUUUGGAUGUUCCUUUUAAAAUUUAUUUUGCAUUUUCUAUAUGCAUUUCGGAUCUUAGAUUAUUAUGUUUUUGGUUUUACGGUUCUUGUGUUUUCCAUGGCUUGUCUUAGGUUUUGGACCCAAAAAGUGUUUGAAUUUUUUUGAUGCGAAUAAAAUGUGUUUUUUUCUUGCUCGAUAGGCACGAAUUUACUUCCGCGAGAUGCAUGACCAUGCCUCCCGCAAAGGGGAAAACAUGUUUUAUUCAAUGAGAGGCACGACCAUGCCUGUCGGAAAGAAAAGAAAACAUGUUUUUUUCACGAGAGGCACAUUGUUUUUAAGGGACAAAUUUUCUUACGCGAGUGGCACGAUCAUGCCUCUUGCAGAAGGAAAACCAUGUGUUUUUUCCUACCAUGCGAGGUAUGGAUUUUCUUCUGUGAGAGGCAUCACCGUGCCUCUCGAAAAGGAAAAAUACUUUUUUUUCUUUUGCUAGAGGCAUAUAUUUACUUUUCGUGGAGGCACAAAUUUGCUUAAGUGAGAGAAACGUCCGUGCCUCUCGCAAAAGGUACAAUGUGUUACCACGAGAGGCAUUGAUUUACUUCUUGUGGAGCCAUGAAUUUGCUUCUGCGAGGGGCACGACAAUGGCUCUCAAAAAGGGAAAAACGUGCUCUUGGUUCAGUGUUUUUCGUCUGAUUUUUUUUCUAAAAAUAUCUUUGAAACCUAUCAAUAUAGGAUCUAUUUUUAAAGAUCUCGACGCAAGGAAUCCAACGUGAGAAUGGUUUGAUAGUUGGAUGCAGAAUUUAAGAGAUAAUACAGUUUGAAUAAACGAAUCCACGAAAGAAAGGGGAAAAACUCAUGUUGCAACAAGUGACGUACAUGCGGUGUGACACUGAGAAGGUAAAAUUGACCUAUGCAAAGAGUGCUUAACUAGUGAUUUCGGUAUUUAACUGGGGCAUGCUUAGGUCGCAAGGCUGGACACACAUACCAACACGACAUGACCCAUUAACUUUUUUAUUUUCCAGUUUUCUGUAGUAUAUUAGCCUAGAAAAUAAGGAGUAAAUAGCAAAAACAAUCACAUUUGGGGUUGGAUUAUAAAAUAUACCACUUUCUUUAAUUUUUGAAAAACGAUUACUAUUUUGGUUGGUUGUUCCUAAAAAAUAGUGAUUGAAUCAGAUGGGAUAGUGCGUUAAACGUGUUAAAAGUGUGGCUGGCACAAAACGUGUGACUAACAAAAUGGCUAUCAUAAAUGUGGUAAGAUUUAACAAAAACAAACCUAUGACAUGUGGGCCAUACAAUUUAAAAUCAUGACAAGUUGUAAGUAUGACAAUGAACCAAACACAUGCCUAAGAUGUUGUGACAUGACUAAGAUUAAACUUGACAACUUUAAACUGAGAACCAAACAUGCCCUUAGUCAUGAACCAAACAAGCCAUUACUCUUAUGUUUACUGUUCCCUAUUCAUAUGAAACAAAGAGGCCUUAGACUUUAGGCAUUUUUGGAAGUCAGAAAAAAUUUCUGAGCCUGUUUAGGACUGCUUCGCUUCACCAAAAUUAAUUUUAUUUCAUCAAAUUUUAUUUGAAACAGUUUCAUACAGAAAAUUGUGGCACUAUUAAAAAAAUAACUUUCAUCUAGCUUUAGCUUUAAGAAUGAAAAAUUUGGUGAAGAUGAUCUAUUUAGUUGAAUGGGGUUGAGAAACGAAGGAGUAUCCACUUAAUAUUGACAUUCGUGGAUAAUUUCGUCCAACUCUAGCUUUUAGAGGUUUUUUCGGAACAUUACUGAAGAAUUUCAUAAAAACUGAAAGUUGUAUAACAAAAUAUCUAUUUUUCUACAUAGUGGUGUAUCACGAUUCAUGGAGUUAUCCCGUUUCGUUUGUGAGUGAAGCUGAAAACAGGCUCCCGGUGAACGGUAGGUAGUGUGCUGCGUGGCAUCUGCGUCCGAUAUGCAGUAUGUCCGUUCCAUAAAAGAUAUCUAGAAUUAAAACAGAGUUGCGCGCAUCCUUAUCUUGGGCACAUGGGCUAGCGGCUUGCCGGCAACAGACAAAGUCACAUAAGACGAGACGAGGUGGGCAGCCACACCACGGUCACCGAGCGAGGAAAGCGAUCGGUCGGUGCACAGGCAAGCAAACCGGGGCCGAAAGCACCCAGUAGGUAUCCUGGAAAACUAACGUCCGCGCCCGCCUGUUUCCCCCGCCCCUCCCGUAUAUAUCAUCACCCACCCUGCCCCAGCCAACAACUCACCAACACAAGCUUCCAUCACCUCAGCUCACUUCUUCCACUACCACUGACCAAUCAUCUACUGGGAUCACACGAUUCACGGACCAGCC